CUAAUAAUGCUAUAAUUAGACUAUAAUAAUACUAAGCAAGCUUAAUCAAAUACAAAAAAAUCUUAAAGAAAUUUCAAAAAAAUAAUAAGAAUUCUUAAAAAAAUAUUAGAAGGAUUACAAAUAUUACUCAAAUACAUCUCAAUUCAAUCUUAAUUUAAUUCUAGUUAAAAUCCUAUUGAACUUCAUUCAAACUUUAGGCCAAAACUAAUUGAAUCUUAAAUCCUAUUAAAAUCCUAAAUCCUAAAUCAAACCCUAAAUAAAUCUUAAAUCAAAUCCCAACCAAAUCCUAAAUCGAAUCCUAACAAAAUCCUAAACCCUAAAUAAAAUCAUAAACCAAAUCCUAAUCCAAAUCCUAAAUCCUAAACCAAAUCCUAAUCAAAUCCUAAAUCCUAAAUCAAACUCUAAUCAAAUCCUAAACCAAAUCCUAACCAAAUCUUAAACCCUAAAUCAAAUCCUAAUCAAAUCCUAAAUCCUAAAUCAAAUCCUAAUCCAAACCCUAAACCUUAAACCAAAUCCUAGUAAUUCUUACAACAGAUUUAAACCUCAAUAACUAAUGAAUAAACUAUUGUCGUAUUACGUACUUUCCUGCUUGAGAACGCACUGAGCAUCUGGCUAUAGGAGGUAGUAUGGAGAUUCGCUAAUAUUCAAGCAGUCUAUUGAUUUUUGACUAUUGGAAUAUAAACGAUAGUAAGAAUAUACCAUAAAUCUAUACGGAUGUCCUUCGACUACUCGCCAAAAUCCUUUUUGUCCCAACCGAUAGGUCUCUAGACGUUACAGAGAACCCCGAACAAUCCAAUCUGCUAAUCUUUGAUACCGCUUUAUACUCAUGACCUUGUAUCCACUGACUGCCUUGUUAGAUUAACCCAAAAAUUUUCAUUCACUCCGCAUACUCAAUCCUAUAGACACCCUUUUAAUUCUUCAAUCAUAGACAUAACUUCGAUUUCACAAAACAGUUAAGAGUAAUCACACCCACUUCAUUAGAACCCUGAUUCACUAGUACAACACUGACUUCAGCAACGAUUGCCUCAGUUUUCCUAAAACCCUAUGAAGAAAAAAAAAAAAAUCCCAAUUCUCUGUCUUUUUUCUCUGAAGCAUGAAGCUAGCUCUCCCCCCUUAAAACCUUGAUUUUUCCUCCUUCAUUUCUUAACCUAUCCUCCCCUUUAAUCCUAAUUCUCUCAUCUUUCAAACCCUAGCCUUUGAAUUUCUUCAAUCUUCUAUCUUGGAUCUGAAAUUGGCUCCGCCGUCAGAGCUUUCUCCUCUAUUUUUUGCCUUUUAAAAGGUUCUUUUUUCAGAAACAACGUUCCCUAAAAUGGCAUAGAGAACAAGACAGCCUGAAACGGAAUCGAAACUCCCGUAAUCGGGACCACAUUGAGUCACCCGACCAAAUCAGGUCUCAUAUUGGCUAAGAGGCCCGUAGUAAGACCUGGAUGUUCCUGUAAUUGGGUCAAAUUGGUCCUUCACAUUAGGCUCGCUAAGUCAUCAAUUUAAUCCUUUCGAUUCUAUUGACUCCCACUAUUAGACACGAACGGAGCAUUUCGUUAUUGGUAAGUAUGCCCUGACCGAUUGUAACAGGAUGUCUGAACUGGCCCCUGAAUAUUGGCACUGUAAUCGAUCGUUGCUCCCAAUAUUUGAGAUAACUAAAUAUUAAUAAAAGUCCUCUUUUUUUAUAUUUUCACGGUAUACUCAUGUUACAAUACGACAUCCACCCCCUCUGAACCUGUGCAUCCUCCAAUAUGCAUCAAUUUACCCAAUUGCUGUUUGAUUUAUAAUAUAUUCUCUACGUCUUUGUCCAGUUUGUCUUUGUCACCUUUAUUAUCCAAAUCACUUUCAUCUUCUUGCUGCGGAAUCUCUAUACCUUCAUUAAGGUCUUCUAUAUUCAUCUCCGUGUAUCUUCGUUUAAAUAUUUUUACUCGCUUCCGUGCAAUUGGUAUUUUCAAUUUUGUACCAUCUAACUCCCGUAAUGAGUAAGUCGCAUUAUCAUGAACAGUUGUUACUACAUAUGGUCCAAACCAACAUUUUGAAAAUUUCCGCAAAGUACUAUGUUGAUUAUCCAGACUAUUGUCAUAAACAAGUACCCAGUCACCUUCCUUGAUUGCUUUAGGUCUCAAUCGAUGUUGCUUAUCGAAUCACGCCUUGUUUUGUAACCUUGUUCUUUUUAACCUUUCCAAUUCUAUCUACACAUCUUCCAAUCUUUGCUCCAAUUGUCGAAUCCUAAUAGCCAGAAGUUCUUCUCUUGUCAAUCCAUCUUCCCAUGGUAGCAUACUCUAUGUAAGUACCCUUUCUUCAAUCGGCAUAAUUGAUUUUCGACCUGUCAUAAGUUCUACUGGCAUAUAUCAUGUCACCAAACUAUGUGUUGUUCGAUCAGUCCAUAAUACAAAUGACAAAAGCCAUGGCCACUCUCUAACUUUCCCAUUACAAGCUUUAACUAAUGCUUUCACAAUUGGUAGGUGACCACGUUCACUUUUUACAUUCCCUUUUGGAUUAUAAGCAGUAGUCAGUGAUAGUUUAACUCUACAUCUUUCAAAGAACUUACGAGCUUCUUGUGCAUUUAAUUCUCCACAAUCUGUAGUGAUUUUUCCUAUGCAUGCGUAGUGGCAAAUGACAUCUUCAAGCAAAAAUUUACAAAUCCCCUCUGUAGAUUUUGUCCUCAAUGUUCUUCCUUCUACUUGAUUUGAUAAAUCUUCACGAGCUAAGACCAAAUAUUUCAUCUGCCAUAAUCCAACUGGCAUAAUAACCAAAUCAACAACCCAUUUAAAAUGAAUAGCUAGAGGAUACGUAAGAUGAAGACCAUCUCGAUGUCGGAUAUUAGAAUAUGAUUGACAAAUUUCACAUGACUCUACAAAUGAGAGCACAUCUCAAUACAUAUUUUUCCACCAAUAUCGUUCAUUGAGUUUAGCAAAAGUAGCCCAGAUUCCUCUAUGUCUUGCCCAUAAACUAUCAUGAAAUUCCUUUAAUAAUUUUAGUUUUUCUUUCUUUUUGCCUAUCACUCGUUGUAGCAUCCUAAUUCCUUUCUUCGGUCUCUUCCAUAAGAAUCCAUCUCGAAGCAAAAAUCCAUAUUCUUUUUUUCUUAUUUGUUUGAAUUUUUCUAUAGACCAAUUUCCUUGCAUAGUCAAGGUAUUCAAGUAAUGACCAAUAUCCAAUAAUUCUCCUUCAUAAGAUUCUUCAAGAAAUAGCUUAUCUUCUCUGUUGAGAUUUGAUAUUGAAUAGAAUUUCAAUCUGACGUCAUCAAUGUCUUCAACCAUUUCAUCCUCCCUCUCGUAUCUUACUCAAGAUAGCAUGUCUGUUACUAAAUUGUCCUUCCUAGUAACAUGCUUAAAUUCCGGAUUAAGUGAUUUAAUAUAAGCAAUCCAUCUCAACAUUGCAAUAUCUAGCGUUGAAUAGUUAGUAAUCAUUCCAAGCAAUGGCAAGCAAUCUGUUUCAAUUACUACUACUGCCCCAAUCAAAUAGUCAUUUUCAGCUUUCAUAGUCGAAACAACUCCCCAAAGUUCUCUUUUGACUUGCGAAUAUGCACGCUGACAAAUACUUAAAACUUUAGCUCCAAAUCGAACUGCAAAUCUAUUCCCACUUGAAUCAUUUUGAUCCACAGCCCAUCCAAUGGUAAUUGGACUAGUGUCCACAGUAAGAAUCACUAGUCUAUUGCACUUAUAAUCAACCUUCCUCAAUAUUGGAGGUGACAUCAAUAAUUUCUUCAAACUUUGUAUUACCUGAAUAUGCCUUUCUUCUCAUUUAAAUCGGUAGCCUUUGCAUAACAGUUCAUAUAAUGGAUCCGCUAUGUGAGCAUAAUGAAGGAUCCAAAUGCGAUAAAAUACACAUGCACCUAAAAACUUGCGAACCUCUGUUAAAGAUUCACAAUCCUCUUUCAUCCUUCUAAUUGCAUCAACUUUAGUCAGAUCUGAUUUUCUUCUGUAAGAUCGAUAUAAAUGUCCAACAAUCAUAACCUCUUGUACUCCAAAUAUGGACUUCAUACCCGAUAAUGUAAGAUGAACUUUUCCAAGCCAAGUUAAAAUCUUUUCACAAUCUUGUAUAUGAUCAACAACAUAUUUGCGACACCUCCUCUUAUCUAAAGUUUCAACCUUGUCUCCUUCUCUGCAACCUUUUAUAGGAACAUCAUCCAAAAAAGGCAUAGUCUUCUCCGUAAUAAAAUCUCUGAAUACCUUAUUCAUCCCAUUCAUCAUAUGCGCAACUGAGUUGGUCGCGCCUUGAGGAAGAGUGCACAUUCUAACCAAUCCAAGUGGUGUCCUCAUUGUCGUCAUAUCUCUACUUCCUUCGGCAAGUUGAAAUUGAUCAUAACCUGAAUACAAGUCACCCAUUGAAUAAAUCGCCCUUCCUGCAAACGUCUCAGCAAAUUCAUCCACAAUAGGUCCAAUUCCUGCAUUCUUGACAAUUACUACAUUCACCAGAUGCAUAUCUUGAAUAAAACGUAGUAAUCCAUUCUUCUUAUGUACCGUUGUCGUGUUGUGGUUUGGCUACUAUAUGAAAAUAAUGUAAUUAUGUACUUAAUAUAUAAUUUAUUAAGUAACAUGGUGAGAGCCAUGUUAGUAGAUUUUAGUUGGUUGUAGAAUAUAAUUUGAGUAUUACUUUGAAAAGAGGUUGUUUAAAAAGAUUACUAUAGAAUUUGUAUAACUUUAAUUUCCUUUUGAUAGUGGCUUUUAAGAUUGGUUUUGGUUGAUAGUAACUUCUAAAUAUUUAGAGUCACCUUUAUUAGACAUUGGUGACAUUUGAAAACUUAUUUUGAUUCUUUUAUUUGGUGUUUAGAGCAUACAUUAUGUAAAUCUUAUAAGAAAAAGUAUUGAAGAAGGAUUUUGGUAGCAAAGGGAGUAAUUAGGGCACCAAUAUAGAUGAAUGGAGAUGAAAAAUAAAACUCUCCAUUCCUAUUGGUCAAAAAUCAUGACGAAUGGACUUUGAGGAGGCUGCCUGAGGCCAUAUUAGGGAUUAGGGUUAGUUUCUCGAGCCCAUUCGAACUUUGAAGGCUAGGGUCAGAAGGUUUAGGUUUUUAUUUAAGGUUUUGGUGGGAGUUUUGUGUCAUUUGGGGUUUAUAUGAAGAAGUUAUAGGCGCUCAAAGUUAAGGUGUUAGUUUUGGACCUACUGUCACUCUUUUGGGCAUAACGCACGCAUACGGAUGGCAAUUGAGAAUCGGUGAUCGCAACUGGAGAGAGCACUUUUGUGGCUAUACUAUCCAAGUAAGAAUGAAGGAGUUAUUGAAUUUUGAAGUUAGCACAUGCAAUCUAAGGGUAAUAAGUAAACCGAUUUACUAGUGUUUGUCUCUUGAACUAUAUCUUGAGCAAUUUUGUGAGGUUUUGGCUCAAAAUUUCAAAGAAUGUGUAAUUUCAUGUUAAUAAACUUUGUGCAUAAGUUUUAUGACAUUUGGAGUUCGGGUUUUUGAGAUAUAAGGAAAAUAGUUUUUUCAGAUGCUUGUAAAUUAGGGUUUGGAGUGUCUGCUAGGGUUUCUUAGAUGCCAAAAGAUUGGGAGUGAAUUUGAGGUUGGUGUUUUUUGUGGUAUAAGUUAAGGAUAAAUUCUACCUAUCUUAUAAGUUUGAAACAAACUGAACAGUUAGAUCAAUAGUUAUGAUUUUCUAAAGUUCAGAGCAAAAAAAACCCUUCACGAAAAAAAUAUGUUUUGAAGGGAUUUUGUUAUAUUUGGAGUUUUAUACAAAAAUAAAGGAAUUUUGGAAGCCAUAAAAAGAAUCAUAUAAAGGUUUAAGGUACACUCUCUACAGCUAGAUAUCUAAUGUAUUCCCUGAUAGCAAAUCACGCCAUACGACACUGUAAACGAUCGACUAGAAUACAGCACGAAUGAGGGUUCUAAUAUUUUCAUCUUCAUCUUUUCUUUUAAUAGUUCCACGAAUUUAGGUAAAUGUACCUUCGGUACUGGAAUCAAUCUUAGAUUCCAAGGUACAUGUGGUACAGUGAAGAUAACCAUAGGUGUUAUAAUAUUCGGAUCCACAUACCCAAUUUCAUAAGAUUCGAAGGCAAAUGAUCUACCUUGUUUAGCCAACAUCUUUUUGAAGCAAGUAAUUUCCUCCGGUAAUAAAGAACCAUCAGAACCAAUCUUCAAUUCUUUAAAAGUCUCUUUAGUAAAUUGAUGUCCAAUACUCAUUGGAUCUCUUAAACUUGUUUCUUUUGAUGCUUCUCCCAUUUGUUCUUUAAAAUCUUUUGGUAAUGGUCCGACAACAGGCUUUACCUUCUUAUCUACCGUUUUAUAUCUCGUCUCUACAAUGACUUCUGGUGCUUGAAAAGAUUCAAGUAUGGUAUAAAUCUCUCUUGAAUGAAUCUCAACAAUCUUAUCAUUAUCCCCUAACCCAAUAAAUGUAAUCAAUUCCAUUGAAUCUUCCAGUCCAUUUUCUUCAUAAACACCUAAAAUCCUCUCAUCAUCUUACAAUGUACCUAACUUAUAUAAUUCUCCUUCAAUAUUAUAUAAUCUUUUUCUUUCUUUUCUUUUAAAAUCAUCAACUUUCUUAUACAUAAUAUUUCCAUUCUCCAAAAUACAAAUAAAACUCACAUCAAAGACACCUUCAUCUUGUGAGAGUACCUCCUCUUUUGUACCUCCAUAAUCUCACUUUACAGUGGUACUUUCCCAAAGUCCUUAAAUCCUUCAACAAUCUUUGGCAAUGGUUUCUCCCUCAACCUAUGUCGAUUCCGUUCAUGGUUAGGAGGUACUGUUAGAAAUUGUACAGCUUUCCUCCCAUCUUUGCUACAUAUCCUUGCAUAAGCAAAACCAUCGUCAAGUACUUUUGUUUCCAUUCGUAUUGCCAUAAUAUAAGGUUGUCCUAAAAUCAACGGAUAAGACGUUGUAUCUUGAACAAAGAAAUGUUGCUCCAUCGUAACAUCCCCAAUCCAAAUUUUGACAUCUGGACAAGCUCCAUAUAAUUCGUCCCGUGUGUUAUUAGCUUCUUGUAUUGCCCAUCUAUGUUCCAUAUCAAUUGGCCAUUUUUGUUUCUUAUAAAGAUCUUUAGACAUGAGAUUUAUUUCAGAACCAUGGUUGAUUAAAGCAACAAUUGGUUCUUCUAUAUCUCCUACUUUCACCAAUACCUCUGUAGUUGCCCUUGUCCAAUGCUUUUGAGUAUAAUGGCUCAAAGUUUCCAUUUCCUUAUCAUUAUAAUCUUCGAAAUGUACUCGUUGAUUAUACCCAUUCUUUUCAUUUAUUGGUUGCUUGUAACCAAUAUCAACCUCUUCUUCAGCUUUAUAUAUUCUUGCAUCAAUAGCAUGACUCAUUCCAGUUUUGCCCAUUAAUUGCAUCUUUUGCUUAAUGCUGUCAAUGAUAACAUCAUGAAACUCCUUCUUUGCAAUUCCCAAGACUUCUUUCAAUGUGAAUUCCACCUUAGCAUUUAAUAUACGUUCUUCCAAUACCCCUUUCAAAUUUGUUGCCGCUUCAAUGUUAGAAAGUAGCUUAUAAGCAAUUGAUUACCUUUAUCUUUUGUCUCCUUUGUUUUUUCUCCCAAUGAUGCUGAGGUAUCCUUUACAGGCAAUUCUUGUGAAGCUGCCUCCCGAGCCUUGUCUCCUCGAGUUUGCCUCUUAGAAGAAUUUCCUUCUCUAGUAUCAUCAAAAUUUUCUCGUCUCUUUUCUUCCAUCAAAGCUUCAUGUUGGCUCUUAGCAAUAUAUGCAUGAACUGAAAGAGAUUCAACAGGAUCCUCCCAACCUGUUCUACCUCGUAUUGUAGCUGCAGUUCUCAAUAAUGCUUCUCGAGGUAAUUUCUCUUCUUGCAUUAUAGAAAUGGUAGAAGCCCAAAACUCACUAGUUUCCGUACUUCCACCAAAGUCAUCAUCUACUCUAGCACCAUAACUUGCACUUUCUCGUGCUGCUAUUUCAUGUUUUUUUAAGUAAUCUUGAACCAAUGCUCUCAUUCCUUCCUUGCCAAAAUUGGUUUGAAGAAGAUCUUCCCUGUCUUUUAAUGCUAUCUUCUUAUCUUUCCAGCAAAUAAUUUCUUACCAUAUCAUAUUAUUAAAUUCAAGCAAAUAAUUUCUUACCAUAUCACAUUAUUUUCUAAUGUGUGAAGCGUCAUCACACCAAAUGCAUCUUUGUACAUAUCUUUGUUUUGAAACAUUCUUCAAAUUGUUUGUAGAAGUAUUCUCUUCAAGUCUUGCCAAUUUGAUUUGAAGAUCUCGCAUUCCUCGUAUAAUUUCUUCCAUACCCAUAUCUGCUUUCUUUGACAAGGAUGUCGAAGGUUGAACUGUAGGCAUUGUUGGUGGUGUUGUACGUAUUGGAGCUUUGGGUGCUUGUACUGUUUUUGGAAUAUUGCUCCUAUCCUUCUUUCUUUCUCUUUUUGGAAGCAAUUCUACUGCAUCUUCAACAUUCUUCUACUUUGUUGUCAAUCCUUCAUCUUCUUCUUUAUCUUCAAGAAGGAGUUCCAAUUUCCCUUGCAAUUCUCCAUCAGCAGCUUGAAGAAAUAGAUCAACUUUGUUUGGCUCCAUUGUCAAUUUUUCUACCUUCGAUAAUUGAGAGUACUGCCUCUCAAAUUUCCUUAGUAGCUCUGUUGCUUGCAAAUUCUUAUUAGGCCAUUCAAUCCAUUCCAGAAACAGCUUCUUAGUAACGCGAUCACCAUCUUCUAAGAAAUAUUUGUCUUUUAAUGCAUGUGAAAAAACCUCCCAUAAAUUCCCAUAAUAAUUUGUAAUCGAUGUAAUAUGGUCUCUUAUCUCUAGUAUUGUAGUAAGUCCAAAUAAUUCAACCAUUUUCUUCUCAAAAAUUUGAUUUAAUUCCAUUUCAUAAACAUAACAUCUUAAAUACCUUGAAAUAUUCCUUCCAUCAAAUUGAUCAAUUUGAUUGACCAGUGCUUGCAAUGCUUUGGUUGCCAAAGCUUCUUUUCGAUCAUUGCUUUACUAUUGCUGCAUUGAUAAUGAGAAGGCUUGAAACAUACUAGCAAUAGAUGGAUCCAUGUGCAUACCUUGUUCUUUAGAAGAACCCCCACCAGAAACUCCUCCCAAAGGUCCUUCAAAAUUUUUAUUUUCGUUCUCUAUAAAAAUAAAAAUAAAAUCAAACAAAAUCCAAUACCUUCUACCUCAAGCUUUUACGUCGGAUUCACUACUUAUAUCAUAUUACGUGCUUUUCUGCUUGAGAACGCACCGGACAUCUGGCUAUAGAAGGUAGUAUGGAGAUUCGCUAAUGUUCAAGUAGUCUAUUGAUUUUUGAUUAUUGGAAUAUAAACGAUCGUAAGAAUAUAUCAUAAAUCUAUAUGGAUGUCCUUCGACUGCUCGCCAAAAUCCUUUUUGUCCCAGCCGAUAGGUCUCUAGACAUUACAGAGAACCCCGAACAAUCCAAUCUGCUAAUCUCUGAUACCGCUUUAUACUCACGACCUUGUAUCCAGUGACUGACUUGUUAGAUUAACCCAAAUAUUUUCAUUCACUUCGCAUACUCAAUCCUAUAGACACCCUUUUAUUUCUUCAAUCAUAGAUGUAACUUCGAUUUCACAAAACAGUUAAGAGUAAUCACACCCACUUCAUUAGAACCCUGAUUCACUAGUACAACACUGACUUCUGCAACGAUUGCCUCAGUUUUUCUAAAACCCUAUGAAGAAAAAAAAAAAAUCCCAAUUCUCUGUUUUUUUUCUCUGAAGCAUGAAGCUAGCUCUCCCCCCUUAAAACCUUGAUUUUUCCCCCUUCAUUUCUUAACCUAUCCUCUCCUUUAAUCCUAAUUCUCUCAUCUUUCAAAUCCUAGCCUUUGAAUUUCUUCAAUCUUCUAUCUUGGAUCUGAAAUUGGCUCCGUCGUCAGAGCUUUCUCCUCUAUUUUUUGCCUUUUAAAAGGUUCUUUUUUCAGAAACAACAUUCCGUGAAACGGCACAGAGAACAGGAUAGCCUGAAACAGAAUCAAAACUUCCGUAAUCGGGACCACAUUGAGUCACCCGACCAAAUCAGGUCUCAUAUUGGCUAAGAGGCCCGUAGUAAGAUCUGGAUGUUCCCAUAAUUGGGUCAAAUUGGUCCUUCGCGUUAGGCUUGCUCAGUCAUCAAUUUAGUCCUUUCGAUUCUGUUGACUCCCACUAUUGGACUCGAAUGGAGUAUUUUGUUACUGGUAAGUAUGCCCUGAUCGACUGUGAUGGGGUGUCUGAACUGGCCCUUGAAUAUUGGCACUGGAAUCGAUCGUUGCUCCCAAUAUUCGAGGUAAUUGAAUAUUAAUAAAAGUCUCCUUUCUUUAUAUUUUCACAGUAUACUCAUGUUACAAUAUGACACCGUCGAUCUUAACUCAAGUUUUACAUACUUUUAAAAAAAUAAGUUAAAAACAAGCACAAAAAAAUUAAAAAGGAUCGGAGUACCAAAUUGAUGAUAACCUUAAAAAUAUGUUCGAGUAUUGGCCGGCCUCCUUCUCCAAUCUUGAUGCCAAUCUUCCAGAGCCAAUAUCUCUCUUUUGUACCGUUCAAUUGAUCUCAAAAUUUUCACACAUAGGAAAAAAAGUCUUAUAUCCUCUCACAUAAGUUUCACUCCAAUCCAAUUAAUAGAUUGCAAGAAAUCUUAAAAACCCCCACUAGACCUAAAAUUCUACUUUUUAAGACCUUGACCCACUUAAACGUCAAUUUUCCUCAAUUCAACCAUUAGAUCGAGCUCAAAUUUAUGACACAUAUUAAACACAACUAUAACCAUAAACCCACAAAAUUUCACUCAUAGAUCUAUUACAAAACUCUUGAAAUCACCUAAAAUAUAAACCCUAAUUUAUUUCAUAAAAUCUAAGUCAUCCAAAACAAACCUUGACUUUGCAAAGCUCUUACAAAGUCAUAUCAACUCCAAAUCAUCCAAAAUCAAUGCUCAUAGAGAGCCUAUUCAGUCUGCUAUCAAAGCUCACUCUUCAAUCUUCAAAAGAACCCCAGAGUCGUCAUCGAGAAUCAGUUUUGUGCCUCAGGGUCUGAUUUCGACUCUGGUUCAUAACCGGCCCUCUUUAGGUAUCAAUAUCUAGUUUUUUUAAGUAAUUUUUUUUAGAAUUUACUCUUAACUUCCUCCUAAAGAUAUCUGUACUAUUUAUUUUUCCAAUCUAACUUAUUUUGCCUUACUUAUGGUACAACAAAGUAAGUAGAAGUUAUCUCUCUAAAAGGUAGCAUUGGUACCUUUUAAUUUUUCUACCACUUUGACUAUUAACUAUAUUUCUAAGAUAAUUUGUUCUAAUACUUUGAACUAGGAUCUCUUAAAUUAUAAUAAUCUCUAUACUCUUUCACCUAUUAGUUAUAUUAUAUCACGACAUCAUAUUGUCACAAAUCGGAACAGAUGAUAAAUUUCAUCCAAUAGCUUUUCAUUCUAGAAAAUUUACAGUAGUUGAGAUGAACUACAAAAUCCACAACAAAGAACUUCUUGCAAUCAUAGAUUCAUUUCAAGAAUGGUGCCAUUAACUAGAAGGUGCUUCUAACCUAGUCACAGUGUAUACGGAUCACAAGAACCUUGAAUAUUUUAUGUCAGUACGUAUUUUGAAUCAUUGCCCAACCCGUUAGAGUAUGUCUUUCUUAAGAUUCGAAUUUAAGAUCACUUCUCGACCAAGAAAAAAACAAGUUUUGUCAGAUGCACUCUUUAGAUGAUCUUAUCUUGCACCAAAGGAAGGAGAUGCUACUUUUUAUCAACAACGAACAAUUCUCUUGAACCCAGAGCAUCUUCAUCUUCGAGCAAUGAAAUCAAUACUACUAUUGAUUCAACUUUCAUUAAGCAAGUUCAGUCAAGUAUGUCUUUUGAUCUUCUUAUUCAUGAUAUGGAGAGAAAUCCUUCAAAGUCUCAUGAUACUUCUAAGUUUGAAUUCUAUAAGAAUCUACUAUAUUUUGAGGGAUGCCACUAUGUGUUCUUCAAGCUCAUCAUGACUUUUCAACAGAAGGACAUUUUGGGUACAAUAAAACUUUCGAACUAAUAUCCAAGGACUUUUGGUGGCCACAAAUGUGGAAAGCAGUCAAAGAUUUUGUACAAUCUUAUGAUGUUUGCUCAAGAUCAAAAACUCCUCGUCAUUGACCUUACGGACUUCUUCAGCCAUUAUCCAUUCUAGAAUAAUCAUGGUCUUCUAUUUCUAAAGAUUUCAUCACGGAUCUUCCAAUCUCAAGUUUUUAUGACUCUAUAUUCAUGAUAGUGGAUUAUUUUACCAAGAUGGCACAUUUUGUAUCAUAUAUAAAAUCUAUCACAGGUGAAGAAAUAAUUAAGCUCUUUCUUGACAAUAUCUAUCGCUAUAAAAGAUUAUCCAAGGAUAUUAUAUCAGAUAGGAAAACUCAAUUUGUAUCAAGAUUUUGGCGGACUCUUUUUAAGAUUCUAAAAGUGGAUAUAAAACUAUCUUUAACAUUCCAUCCUCAAGCUGAUGGAAAAAUAGAGCGUGUUAAUCAAGUUUUGGAGCAAUAUUUAAGAUGUAUCAUUAACUACCAACAAGAUGUUUGGACAACUCUUUUACCAUUGGCAGAAUUUGCUUUCAAUAACAUGGUACAUCUUUCUACAAAACAAACACCUUUCUUUGCUAAUUAUGGUUAUCAUCCAUGAUAUGAUACUUAUGACUUUUCAAAAGUUGAUAAUCUUACUAUGAAAGAUUUGGCAAUUCAUUUGUCAUAGCUACAUGCAAUGAUAAAGGCGAAGUUAAAAGAAGCUCAAGAACAACAAAAGGUUAAUGCGGAUGUCUAUCAAAAGAAACAACCACCAUUCUACAUCAGCGAUAAGGUAUGAUUACUUCGUCAUAAUAUCAAGAUCACUCAUCCUUGUGACAAGUUGGAUUAUUGAAGGCUUGAACCAUUUUCUAUUUCUACACAAAUCAAUCCAAUUGCAUAUCGUUUACAUCUAGUGGAGUUAAUGAAAAUCCAUCUAAUAUUCUAUGUGUCUCUUCUUGAACCAUACAUGACAAUGGACAUACCAAAAAGAAGACAAUCUCCACCUCCUCCUAUAGAAGUAGACAAUAAUAAAGAAUUUGGAGUAGAGGAAGUCUUAGAUUCAAGGCUGCGCCAAAAUAAAUUAGAAUAUCUUGUCCAUUGGUACGGAUACGAUAUUAGUGAAUACACAUGGAAGCUAAUAAAGAAUCUUAUAAAUAUAAUAAAGGUGGUGGAGGCUUUUUAUUAAUGAUAUCUAUCAAAAUCUAGAUGAAAAUCUUCUUUAUAAAAGAAAUAAGAUCUAGCCAAGAUAUCAUUCUAAUUUCAAUCCUUGUUUGUAGCUUCUUUAUAGUUGUGACACUCAAGAGAUGGAGAACCAAUAACUAGAGGAUUUGACGUAAGAGCCUUCGUUUACUGACCUACCGAAUGAGACAUUAUAAUUGUUUCAACCUUCAAGUCGAUGCAAUCGAGAUGAAGAUCUUCAAGAACGACAUGUUCUUCCUCAAAUUGAUGGCGAGAUACAAUGCAUUUGGUAUCAUGACCUUGGAAAGGACUCUUGAUGUUUGGUGAUUUUACUAGAGGUAGGAACAAUUCCUGAUGGUGUUCCAAAUAUUUUAUUUGAUUGAAGUUAUAAAGGCCUCAAUAAUGAUCAAAUAACUAGGUGGUCUUCCCGCCUUGGUCUGGGACAUUACCAAUGGUUGAGAGGCCCUAUCAAUCAUCUUCGAAGAGAACAAAGAUCAAAGUAUGUAGUAAAUAGAAUUUAUUGUAUCAUAGAUUUUUUCAACAUAUGAUGAUCGCUCAUCGUGGAACUUGUCCCUAGAAGGAGGGGUAAUGUCAUGGACAUACACAUGUAAGCCAAUAAUUAUAUGUAUAAAUAGAUAGAAGUAAGUAAAAGUAGAUAAAAAUAAGUUAAUUCUAUAGUAUUUGGUAUACAAGCUUCUUAGAAGCUUUAUGGACAUUGCUUUGACUUUAUAAGUAUCUUUAUAUGACUUUUUGGAUUAGAAACGUGGUCAAUAAGUUGGCCACGUGCUACACAUGUUGCUAGCUUGAAGACCAAGCUAACUAUGUGGUCCACACGUAGAAAAACUUGCCUUGUAAGUUAAGGCAUGAGUCCUACAAAGUCAACACAUAUUGGAGGUCUUAUAGAACGCCACCAUGUAGCACCUAGUUAGAUAGUAUAUAUAGAGACAAGAGUGAAGCCUUCUUCAUUCAAAUCAACUCCUUUCUUGUUUCUAGUCUAGUUUCAAGGGUCUCUAGUUUUCUUGACUUUUGGCAAUAGCCAUUUCAGAUUCUUUCUUAAUAUAUAUAUAUAUAUAUAUAUAUAUAUAUUAAGUUAUUUCUAUUUUUUCAUCUUUCUAUGAAAAAAGUGUCAUUUAUUUAUUUAUCUUUAUCAUGUUCUUGUCUUUGACAUAUAAUUAGACAUAGGUCAGAUAGGUCGACAGAAGAAAUACACAAUGUGAAUAACAUGUUGUCGUUAUUACUAUUAUAUAAAAGAAUAGGAAUGGAGCAUCAAUUUAAAGUAAUUCUAAUAUGUCACAUUCUGUUGUUAUUUUUGUGUUACAAAUUUUAUAUUUUGAGAGUAUUGGAGAGUAGCAUUGCAUGGUAUGAGCAUUGGAUACAGAGGGCAAUGUCAAAUAGGAAUUGGAAGCAAGUAAAAAAGUGAUAUUGGAAUAGAAGCAAAGAAUUGUAGAAAAAGAACUGAUCAUCUAGGUGAAUAGAGAAUCCAAGUUGACAUUAGAAUGGAGAUUUUUAUAGAAACAAGAAGCUUGGACGAAAGAAAAAGAAUACAUCUUUAAGAACGUGGAAGAUCAAUAUAAUGAAUUGGUCCAAAAUUUUCAGACAUGGGAUUUGGAAUGAGAGAAAGUUAGGUGCCAAUUGCAUGCAGAAUAGAAAAAGAUAGAGUUCUUAGCAUAAGAAAAAGUGGUAUUGAAUGACCAAUAUAGAUGUGAAACAAAGUGGUUAAGGGCUGAAAUUGAGGAAUUGAAUGUUGAGGUGACAAAAUUGGCAAAUGAUUUUGUCAAUAUUAGUCAGUUACAACUAUCAAUGAUGUCAGUUUUCAAAGUUCCAAAAUGGAUGAUUUAGCAUUAGCACCAAUUGGAAUUGAAGGAUGCCCAAAUCUUAAAAUUCGAGGCUCAAGUCCAUGAAUUGGGUGAGUACAAUGAAGACCUUUCAACCUAGUUGAGGAAAGAGCUGAUAGAAGGAUUGGAGGAGAAUAAAAGUUUACAUUUGGAACUAGAAUUGGUGGAACUAAUAACAGAUAAUGCGGUAGUUGAUCAAUUGGGUAGGCCAAAGGAAUAGCAAUUUGGUAGAGUUUUAUUUAGUAUUUUUUAGAUAUGUAUUAAUCUUGUGUUUGCAAGGAUGCUGUACAAUUAAGAGUGGGGCUAUGUAAAUAGAGUAGAAAUUUAUUUUUGUAAAAUAUUAAUAAAAUAGAUUAAUCAUUCCUAUGAUAGUCAAUUCAAUAAGAUGGAUGAUUGAAUUAAUUAUAAAAAAAUAAUUAAGUAGAAAAUGAUAGUUAGAAUAUAGAAUUUCAAAAGUAAAGCAUAAAUAAGUUGAAGAAGAUAUUGUAAGGGCCAGACUCUGAUAGACAUGAGUUAGGGUAAGAUUGGUACUACUUCUUUGUUUUUUUAUUGUUGAAGAGUAAUGGAUAGUUUUUGAAUACUGAGAAGUAAAUCUAUGGAAUAAAUUAGAGAUUGAUUUAUGAGUUAUUGAUUAUGUAAUUGGAGUACUAUGUGAUUGAAUUAUAUGAGGAGUUAUUGGAAGAUUAAUUAUAGAUGGAAGAUUAUGAUUGUUGUUUAUUAAGAGUUGUGUGUGUUUUGAAAUAGGAAGUCUGUGAUUACAAAAAUCGUGUGAAUCUAGAUUGAUUGGAGUGAAGUCUUUUAUUUCUAGUGUUAGAUGGAAUUUAUGUGUUUUGAGCAGUCUUUUGAGAAUGCAGGAUUGUACAUUGUUGUUAUCAAUUGAUGAAGGAGUAUUGUUACUAGAAGAAAGUAUUGUAGUGUUUCUUAAUAUUUUAGUGGUUUAGAUUAUAGUUAAUUAUGUAACCCUAAUGUAUAAGCUCAUGUGAUAGUCUUUUUUUGUGUUCAAAUCUCCUUCUAUAGAUUUAUUCUAGAAGGAAUUUGUAGAAUAAGUAAAAUGAUAACUAGAAUUUAUUUCUAUAAAGAAUACAUUAAAAAAGUUGAUGCAAUAAAAAGUUGGUAAAAAAGUAAAUUCCUUCUUCAAAGCAACAAACAAUGCUUCAACUUUUUUAUUCCAUUGAUGUUUGUCUUUACAAAUCAAACAUGUUAGUAGAGCUACAACUUAAAAAAUAUUCUUGAUAAAGAUUUGAUAAUAAUUAAUAAAGCUCAAAAAGAAUUGCACAUCUCUUAUUAUUCUUAGAAUCUUCUAAUCUAUGAUAGUUUGGACCUUCUUUAGAUCCAUCAUAAGAUCUUCAUUGAAAAUGAUAUAUCUUAAAAAAUCAACUUGAGUAGUACAAAAUAUAUACUUUUUCAUCUUUGUGUAUAAUCCUAUAUCUCUUGGUUUUUGUAAGACACGAAAAAUAUGAAUUUCAUACUUUACUAUGUUCUUAGAAUAGAUUAAAAUGUCAUCUUAAUAAUAGACAAAAUAAACAUCAAAAAAUUCAUAAAAGACAUCAUUCAUAAGAUGUUGAAAAGUAGUUGGUGUAUUAGUGAGUCCAAAAGGCAUGACAUUAUAUUCAAAAUAUUCAAACCUAGUUUGGAAAGUAGUCUUCCAUUCAUCUCCUUCUUUGAUGUGGACCAAGUUUUAUGCUCUUUGUAGAUCUAUUUUUGUAUGGAUCUUUGCUUGAUUUAAUUCAUUAAGGAGUCUUGAAAUGAAAGAUAGAAGAUACCUAUUCUUGAUGGUGAUCUUAUUAAGUCCUCAAAAAUUUACGCACAUUUGCAAAGAUUUAUCUUUUUUCUUCAUAAAUAAAAUAGAAGUAUCGGCUAGAGAUUUAGAGUGGCAUAUAAAGUUCUUAGCCAAAUUUUCAACAAUGUAUUUUUUCAAUGUAGCCAACUCAUUUUGUGAUAGUCUAUAGAUUGGUCCAAAUAGUGGUUGAAUUUUUUUUUUGAAGAUCGAUGGUACAAUCAUAAAGAUGAUGCUUUAGAAGAAUAUUUGUUUUUUUUUUUUUAAAAAAAAACAACUUGAAAAUCUUGAUACUUACAAAGAAUAUUACUUGAUAUCUUCUCACUAUUAACAAUAAGUGUGGCAUAUAUAGCAAAAUAUGGCCUUUUAUUUGUCACAUGCAUGAAAACUUUUGAACCUAUUAAUAAGGGUUUGGAUAUACUAGAUUUACGGAUUUCUACUUGCUUAGUAGGACCUUGGACUAAACUAUAGAAAAAAUCAAGAUUUCAAGAAAUCUAGUCUAUCUAAGGGUUAUAUCUUUCUAACCACAAUAAUCUUAAAAUGAUUGGAUUAAAAAGAGACUUAAUGACAUUAAAUAUUACUAAACUAUUAAGACCACUAGUUGCUACUUCUAUAGAAAAAGUUUUAUAUAUAAUAUCUCAAAAGAUAAUGAACAUUCAUCUAUUACUUCAACAUGCACAAUUUUGAUUUUCUUAACUAAAGAUAUAUCUUGUUUUUGAUAAAGUCUUUAUUUAUAAAAUAAGCUGAGGCUCUUGAAUCCAAUAAGGCUAAGACUUUGUGAUUUUUUGGUCAUAAAUAGACUUCUAUUGUAAAAUAAAAUGAGAGAUCAGAUGAAAGAAUAGAAUCUUUGUUAGAUAUUGCAUAUGAUUCUAACUGCAUGAUUCCUAUUGUAGUUGGAACAACUUGUUUUCUGACAUAUUAUCUUCUUUGGCAAUCAUGCUUCUCAUUUUGUAAUUACGUUGUUUUUUUGGAUAAUGUUGAAGAGUAUGUUUAACUUCUUUAUAAAAUAAGUAUAAGCCUUCUUGACAUCGUUGACUCUUUUUCUACUUUGUGAGGGAUUUAAAACAUAUUGUAUUAAUUUGCAUUGAUUUUGGCUUUGAAAAAUAAGUUUUUAAAAAUUUAAAUUGCCAUUAUUAUUUGAUUUAUUCUUCUCUAGCCAUAUCUUUAUUCUUGAUGUCUUUCAAAUAAUCGAUUGUCAUAUGCAAUAGCUUGAAUAAUAAAUUAGUUCAAAUAUUUUAUCUUUAAUAUUAUGAGUAACAAGUCUUUGACAUUAUCCUUCAACCUAUAUCAAAAUUGAUUGAUAAGGGCUUUGUCGUUCUUGUCCAUAUUGUAAGUAAGAUUUUGGAAUUCAGUAACAUGUAUGGGGACUAACCGUGAUCCUUACCAUAAAAAUAAGAACUUGAUCUUUGCUACUCUUUUUUGAUCACUUUCUCCGAAUGUGACCGUAAACACUUCUAGGAAUGAAUUCAAAUCAUAAAAGAGUUGUAAAUCUUUUUCUAUUAAAGGUAAAAAUCAAAAAAGAGAACUUCUUGAUAAAAGUGUGUCUAUGAAUCCGACUUGAGUAAAUCCAUCAAGGUAUUGGAAAGAGUGCAAUCUUAGAUAAAGCUUGACUUGUUGUAAAAAUUCUCAAAAUUUUGAUCUUGUUCCAUCAAACUUCUCAUGCAUACUAAUUGUGAGCUCCAAAUUAUGUUCCAAGAUUAAAUUUUAUAUAUUUUCUUAUAUUUUGUAGUAAUUGAACAAAUUAGAUCAUAAUUUAUAUAAGUAAAAUCUAGUUUUAUAGAAUUUUGAGGAUUAUAACCUUUGAUGGUACAAAUCUUAACCUAAUUCUUUAAAUUUGAUUAAUUAGUACCAAAAUCAUAGACUUUAAAAAAUUAGAAUAGCAAGUUAAUUAAUUUUAGUAAUUUAGAAUUUAUAAUCAUUGCUAUAAGAAUUGAUUGAGAGCCUAUGAAUUCACUUACAAUCAUCUCAUAUGAUUUAGAGUGAAUUAAAAACAUAAGCUUCUAGAAGGAUUCUAGUGAAAAUUAACAAAGGCAAUUUGAAGUUUUUUCUCCUAAAUUAACAAAUUGAAGCAACAAGGUGGCUUUACUAAUUAAUGGAAGCCUUCCAAAUGCAAUGGCGGCAUUGGAUUUGCCUCAUGGAGUGAAGAAAACAAGAUCAGCACCUCUCCACCAAGUUACAAGUGGAGCCAUGAAGAUGUCAUUUUUGAAGGAAUUUUCAAUAAUUGCCAAAAUUCUUGGAGGUAAAAAGUUCAUAAAAAUUACAAAUGAAUGUGGGUUGAGAUAGAUGAGUAGUCAAUCUUAUCAUAAAAAGAGGUUUUAAACACAAUGGUGAAGUUAGAUUUACAAAAAAAAAAAAAAAAAAAAAAUGACCACUUACAAGAGCCAUCAGUCUUAGUGAUGGGAUUAGCUCUUUGAUGAAUGAAGGCCAUAAAUCUACAUUAGGGAUAUUAGAGAUCAAGAGUGGAGAUGUGGCCACCCUCCCACAAGCCACCACUCAAUAGUAUAAGAGUGGCUUGGUUUUCCAAGCCCUCUCUCUCUCUCUCUCUCUCUUUUGAUGAAGAGCAAAGCCAUGCCAAAUCUUGGCCUAAAACUCUAAUUCCAAUUUCAUUUUGGAUCCUAAUGCUCAUUGUGCACCUUGUGAAUGUAAGAUCAUUGAUUUUGUGUUGUAGGUGGUGCUUAUUGUGGUUUAGAAGGCACUCCCUUAAAAUUAGUGGUUUCCAAAUACUUCCAUAGUUAAGUGGGUUUGAAGGGCUUCGGAUUUUUCCCAACCAGUCUUUGGUCUUUUUAAUUUUUGUAGUGAAUUUUUUUGAGCACAUAUCUCUUACUAUGAGCUUUUCAACGAGCUUAAGCUUGCUCAAUUUGGAGGUAGAACAAUUUUUUUGUGAAUUUUUGAGUGCGAGGGGGUCGGCUGCCUUGGCAGUUUGGGUCACUAGUCUUUGAAAAGACAUUUCUCAGUGCUAUUUAAUUAAAACAUUCUGAAAUUUUCAGAAUAAGAGCACAUACAAGUUUAGCUUCCAAUGACGCAAGUUUGAUUACGUUUUAAGCAGAUCCAAAGUUUUGGUGCAUUUUGGAGUGAAGGGUGGUAAGCUGCCAUGGUGGUCUCAGUUAUUCAACUUUGAAGGAGCAGUGCGCAAGCCUCAGGUAUUGGAUUGCCACAAAGUUUCUUGAAGUAGGAGCGUCUUCAAGUUAGGUUUCCAACCAAGCAAAAAUCAUCAGAAUUGAAACUUAUACGAACGGUUGGCGAAUUUUGGAGUAGAAGGGAGUUGCUGCCCUAAAUUCUUGGUCGUUAUCAAGGUGCCUUCUCUGCAUCCCUCUUAGUUUUUAUUUUCUCUUUUAUUUUUACAGUAACUCGUAACUUCCACAUGUAAAAUUUGAACUUUAAAUUUUACUUAUUACUUUUAACUUUUAUUUUUUUUUUACUUUUUACUUAAUCGAUAAUUUUAUUUUUUAUUUUUUACUUUUUACUUAAUCGAUAAUUUUAUUUUUUAUUUUAAAUUUGUUAAAACUUAAACCUUUAAUUUUUACUUAAGAUUUUAUCUUUACUAUGGAUUAAUAAUAAUAACUUAAUUAAUUACUCUUACCACCAAUUAUUUAAGAAGUAAUAAUUUAUAUAUUUAAAAAUAAAUAAAAAUAAAAAAUAAAAAAUAAAAAAUAAAAUAAAAUAAAUAAAUAAAAAUAAAUAAAGUAUAAUAAAAAAAGAAAAAAAAAAGAAAAGAAAUUAUUUAAAACUAAAUUAUAUAAUUAGAAUUAAAAGAAAGAAUUUUUUUGCAUGAAGUUUAAUGAAUGAAUUAUCAUUGUGAAUGUGAAUAAUGAUUGGAAGAUUUAAUUAAUAACUUGGUAUUUUAAUAAUAACAACUAAUGAUUGGAUUAAACUUUGAAUAAUGGCCCUACCUAUAAAUUCAUGUUUACAUGUUAAUCUAACCUAGUUAAGUCAUUGAAUUUAUCUAACCUAGUUAAGUCACUUUUUAUGAACUAAAACAAACUUCCAAUUAGUAGAGGUUUAUUUGAGUUCACACUAAUUUUAUUUUCCAUCAUACUUAUAGAAGCAAAAUUCUUUGGAUUUGGUUGUGAGGUCAAUCUACUAGUGAAAGAUGAUAAUAUAGAUCUUAUUAUAGAAGACCCAAGUUAAAAGAUAAAGUAAAAAAAUAUAGAUAAAAGAUAGAAAGGUAAUAAAACUUUUAGUAGUAAUAUUGUCUUUUUAGAAAAGUGACUUCUACUUACUUUGUAGGCCAUGAAUAAAGAAAAACAAAGUAGAUUGAAAAAAUAAAUAAUAUAGGCAUCUUUAAGAAGAAGUUAAGAGUAAAUUCUAGCAAAAAUUACCUAAAAUAACUAGAUAUUUAUACCUACAGAGGGCUGUUUAUGAACCAAGGUAAAAAUCAGACCUUAUGGCACAAAAUUGAACUCCAAUGACAAUUUUGAGGUUCUUUGGCAAAUUAAAGAGCAAGAUUAGAGAGCAGAUUCGAAAAAAUUCUAAUGAAUAUUAAUUUGGAGUGAUUUGGAUUUGUAUUGACUUUGUGAAAGCUUUGUAAAGUUAAGGUUUGUUUUGGAUGACUCUAGAUUUGUAAAAUAAAAGGAGAGAUACUUUUUGGAGAAUUUUGUAAGUUUGGCAAUAGAUCCACAAAUAAAAUUUUAAAAAUUUGUAUGUUUAUAUGUGUUCAUUAUAUUCUAUGAAUUUGAGCUUGAUCGAAAGGUUGGAUCGAGGAUUAUUGAGGUUUAAAUGAGUGAGGGUCUUGGGAAGUAGAGUUUUAGGUCUACUAAGGAUUUCUAAGAUUUCUUAUAAUUUAUCAGUUGGAUUGGAGUAAAAAUUAUGUAUAUAGGUAGUAGACUUAUUUUUCUAUGUAUUUGAGAAAUUUAAGAUCAAUUGAAUAGUUUGAUAAGGAGAUAUUAGCACUGGAAUUUCAACAUUCAAAUUAGAAUAGGAGGCUGGCCAAUAUGAAAGCAAAUAUUAGGAUUGAUCUUUUUUUUUUGGUGAGUUCAAUCUUCUUCAAAAAAUAUUUGCUUGUUAUUAAUUUAAUAAUUAAGAAGUGUACACAUUUUGAAUUAAAAUCAAUGGUUCAUUGAUUAGUUAUUGAGGUUUGAAUCUUUUGUAGGAAUUACUUGGAUUUAUUUAGGGUUUGGUUAGGGUAUGUUUAGGAAUCAAUUAAGGUUUGGUUAAAACUUAUUUAGUAUUUUUUUAGUAUUUGAUUAGAAUUUGAUUAGGAUUUAUUAGGAUUUGACUAGGAUUUAAUCCUAGUCAAAUGCUCAAUGUAUUUUCAAGCCAAAUGCCACGUAAUAUAAAAAUGACUAAUAGGUGAAAGGGUGAAGAAAACAUCAUAUCUUUUAAGAUCUUAUUUCAAAUAUAUUUUAAAAAAUUAUCUUGAAAAAAUACAUAAUAGUCAAGAAAUAGAAAAUUUAAAGGUAUUAAUGCUAUUUUUUUUGUAAAAUCCUUAGGAUUGAUUUCAAUUUGUUUAAGGUUUAAAAUUUGUCUAAGGUUUGAUUUAGGAUUUAAGAUUUAUAUAGGAUUUGGUUUAAGAUUUAGGAUUUAUCUAAGAUUUUAUUUAGAAUUUAAUUAGGAUUUAAUCUAAAAUUUAAUUAAGAUUCAUUAGGAUUUCAAUUAAGAUUAAAAUAAGAUUUGAUUAAGAUUUAUUUAGAAUAUGUUUAAAAUUUCUUUAAUAUUUUUUAAAAAAUUUCUUCAUAUUUCUUUUGUAAUUUUUUAAAGAUUUGAUUAGAACUUGAUUAUUAAGAUUUAAUUAGAAUUUAUUUAGGAUUUUAUUAGAAUUAUUAGGAUCUUAUUAUUGUAAUUUCCCUUCUACCUUUUAUAGCCAAGUGCUUGAUGCAUUCUUAAGCAAGAUGUUACAUAAUAUAAUAUAUUUAGUGAAGUUGAUAUAAAAAGGUUGAGAUGGAAGCUAUUUGAAAUAUAGAAAAAGAAGACAAGAAAAUUGAAGGAGGAGUUAUGGGCAGUGCAUUGAUGGAAGCUACAAGUAGAAGUAUUGGUAGAGGAUAAGGUAUAUAUUUUGAUUCCAACUAUGCAAGUAUAUUUGAUACUUUUAUCUUAUUCAUGGAAUAACAAUAGGACAAAGAGAACAAAGAAGGUAUGGCAAAUAAAGCAUUAUAGGAAGUUGUUAAUAAGAUUGAUUAAUUUGAAGGAAAAGAAAUUACAAAGUAUUUAAGAUAUUAUAUAAAAAAAUUAAAUUGAAUCAUGUUUUAGAAAAAGAGAUGGUUUAAUUAUUUAAACUAGCUAUUGCAUCAGAGAUAAAAAAUCAUAUGAGGUCUAUUAUAGGAUAUUUUAGAGGUUCAUGGAAGAAAUUUUUUUAAGCAUUGAAGGAUGAAUCUGCAAUGCCAAAAACUAAAAGUUAGAUUAAUAUGGAAGACAAGGCUUGAUUUUAAGAUGUUGAAGUUAUGAAAAAGCAUCAAAAUAGAAUGCACAUCUUCAAGAUCUACAAAGAUAAAGAAGAUUGCAUAAGAAGCAUAUAUAAAUACUUGCACUAAAUAUAAUAAUGAUAGGUUAAAAAGUAAUAGCUAUUUAGUUCUUUAUUUGACAAGAGCUACUACAAAGACAUAUAUGAGGUUGAAAGAUUCUAAAGAUCCAAUUUUGGCCUUAAUUGAUCAUGGAUCUGAAAUCAACAUCAUAUCAAGGCAAAUAUAUGAGAAAAAUAAGUGACCAAUGAAUAUCAACCAUGGUUGAAUAAUUAGAAUUACAAACAACUAAGAAGUUGAUUGAUAUGGAGCUUGUCCAACUAUAAAGAGUAAGAUUGGAGAUGUAGAGGUAGAGCAAAAUUUCUUUGUACAAAAUUCUACAAUAUAUCUAGUAAUACUUAGUCAGUCAUAUAUUACAACUGCUAGAAUGGAGAUUAGAGUCUUGAAUAAUGAUUCACAUUAUUCCAUAAUUUGUAGAUGGAAUAAAAAAAAAGUAAUGUAAUUUAUUACUAUAAAACCAAUCUAUGAGAGGCAUAAGGAGCAAUUAAGAGAGAUGCUUUUGGAGUCAAAAAAUAACUUUGUAGAUUUUUAGAAAGUACCUUUGUAGGAUGGAAACACAUAGGUGCAAAUGAAUCAUCUACAAAUUCCAAUGUAUGUAACAUAAGUUUGGAUUUUUGAAUUUGCCUAGUGAUGAAUUUAUGAAUAUUCAAAGUAUUAAAGAUUUAGAUCCUAUAAAUAAAAGAAGGAUGAAGAAAUAAGUAAAAAACUAAAAAUAAUGGAUUUAAUUCAAAUAAUAAAGCCAUAGUUGGAAUAAUAGAAUAUAUAGAUUUAAAAGAUGAUUUGAUAAAAAAAAUUAAAAAAUUUAGAUAUAAGCAUGGAUAGAAAUGCUAUAAUAGAAAUACAUUCAAGAAGGACUUAUGAAGAGUUAAAGAAAUUGGUAGGAAAUGGUAGAUUUGCUAUAAGCUAUGGAUUGUAAUAUGAGGUUACAAUUCAAAUUAAAUAUAAAAAUGUGAAAAGAAAGAUAAAAUAUGUAAUAAUCUAGUUACAAAUUCAUAAUGUAGAACAUAUGAAGUAAGUAUUUGAUAAAUAAAAUUAAAGAAAGAAGCACAAAAUUAGACAUUAAUUUAUUCAAGAAUCAUUAGCUAAGUUGGAGAUUAGAGGAGAUAUUUUCUUGACAUCAAUAGAGGAAAAUAUAUUUUGAAAAAUACUUAUUAAAUAUAAUAAGGUAUUUUCCUUAAUUUCUAAUGGAAUUAGAUUUGUGGAUCUUAGUAUUAUAGUAUCUAUGGUAAUCUUUAUAAUAUCACAUAUUCCAUAGGAUUUAAAGCCUCUGCUUGUGCCUAAAACUUUAUUUCCAAAUUUGAUAGAAUUAUUAAAAGAAAAGGUGAAGAUGGAUAUUUUGGAACCUUCAAUUGCUCUUUAUUGUAAUAGAUGGUUCAUAGUAUCUCAGAAAUCAAGGACAUUAAGGUUCAUUUAGGAUAUGCAACUAGCAAACAAAGUGACUAUUCAAAAUAUAGAGUCAGAUCUUAUAAUAGAUAAAGUGGCUUAAUAAUUUGAAAGUCAUACUAUUUAUUCUAUUAGAGACUUAUAUUUUGGAUAUAACCAAUUUCAAUUGGUUGAAGAGAGUAGAGAUUUAACCACUAUAAAGAUUCUUUUAGGUUUAAUGAAGAUGUGUACUUUAUUUUAAGGUGCAACCAAUUCAAUGGCUCAUACACAAAAUACUAUGAAUCAAAUAUUGAAAGAAUUUGUGGCUGAAAAAAUCAUUCCAUUUUUGGAUGACAUACCUAUAAAAAAAAUAAAAAAGAAGAUAAGAAUGAGAGCAUCAAAGUUGAAGGUUACAAAAAAUUUAUCAAAAGAUAUAUUAAAGAUGUGGCUAAGAUAUUAGAGAGAUUGGAGUUAAUAAAUUUUACAUUAUCUUUGGAAAAAUCAAGCUUUGGAGUUGAUGAGAUUAUAGUAAUGAGAUACAUGUGAGGCAAAUAUGGCAAAAAAAUCAAACCAUGAUAAAGUUAAUGCUAUAUCUAGAAUGAAGGCUUAUAAAAGUAUUAUAAAAGCCACAAGGUUUUUAAGGGCAUGUAUAUUCUAUUACAUAUGGAUGUAUCACUUUAACCAUAUCUUAGAGCUAUUAUACAAGUUAUUAAAGAAGGAUAAGAAAUUUGUUUGAAAAGAAGAAUAAGAGAUAGUUAUAAAAAAUCUAAAAAAGAUGUUAAGUUCUUCACUAGUGCUUAGAUAAGUGGAUUAUCAAUGUGAAAGAUCAGUAGUUGUAAUAAUGGAUAUAAGUCCUAUAGCAAUUGGAUGGACUAUUAGUUAAGAUGAUGUAAAAGAGAGAAGAUUUGCUAUAAGAUUUGGAACCGAGGUUCUUACAAAGAAGCAAAAGACUUAUCCACAAAUUAAAAGAGAGGUUUGGAAAGUAUUCACCAUACUAAAGGUUGAGAGGAAUUAUUUGAUAGGAGUAAAUAUGGUUUUGAAAACAAAUUAUUUACCAUUACUUAGAAUAAUAAUUAACUUCACUAUUCUAGUUGGAAUUUAGAGAUAGGUUGACACAAGAUUGGUCCAUUUCAAAUAUCCAAGAUCUUUUUAAUCCAUUGCAAUAUAAAAUCUCAUCACAAAUAGGAUAAAAUAAACCAAAACCAACUAAACAAAACUAAACAAAAUGGGAAUUAAUUGGAAUUAGAAUAAAAUAAAAUAAAACAAAAUAAGAAGUUAUAAAAUCCAUUUGUAUUAAAAAAAAGGAUCUGAAGCCAUACUUGAUUUGAUGAUCCAAAAGGCCUUGGUUAGUCUUAUUAUAUUUUAUUCUAUUACCCUCGACUUUCUUAGUUGAUGGACCCUACUUAGAUAACUAUCUUAAACUCUUUCUAGAAGGUUUUGUGAUAGAUUCUACGUAAAUAGCCACCCUAAGUCUUUUCUAGAAGGUUAUAUGAUAGGCCCUACCUAAAUAAUCAUCCUAAAUUCUUUCUAGAAUGUUCCAUGUUGGAUCCUAUUUAAUCCACUAACCUAAUCUCAAUUCUAAAAACUUCCAUAAUUUUUCAAAUAUGGUUCUAAUUACUUAUAUUUAUGUGUCAAUAAUAUAAAUAUCUUAUUUAUGCCUUGUUAUAGUUUAUCCUCCUCCACUUAUGCAAAACGUCCUUGUUUUGCUCUAGAUGGUAUUUCCAAAUUGUCUCUUAAUAAUAGAUGAAGUUUUGUGCAGGUUCCCAUGUUGCAUCAUGGAUAGAAUAAACUUUCCAAAGAACUUUGUACUAAAGUUGGGGAUGUCCACUACCAUGGUGAAGGUAGCAAUGCUCCAAAAUGAUGUCCACUUCAUAUUCUUAUUAGUCAUCAAUUAUAACUAGUAGUGGUGGUAGUUGAUGUCAAUCUAGAAAGUGCUUUGGCUUAGUAUGAAAUUCCUUCAAUUGUAAAAUGUAAAAGACUGUAUAGACCCGAAUAUGUAGCAAAAGCUCAAGGCAAUAUGUGAUAUCAAAAAUCAUUACAAAAUGUGGAAAGGUCUAAGCCACCAAGGAACUAGUUUAAAAAUUUGGAUUGAUAUAACAAGUGACAAGUUGGCAUUGGAGAGUAAUACCUCAUCACCUUUCUAAAAGAUCUUAUGUUGCCGAUGAUUAUCUCCAUAUUGCUUCUAUUAAUUUUAUAGAAUAAAGAGGUAGUGUCGUACUUCUUGCAAGGCUAUUAUAAAUUGUUGUAUAAAUUUUUUUAUUGUUGACUUGUUGGUAUUAAUAAGAUAAUAGAGUAUUGUAGGUAUAAUCAGAUGCUAACCAAUAUUAAAAAUAAAAUGGUGAAUAACCAGUACUUGCUUGAAUACUAUCAUUGAAAGUAAACUCCAAGGGCAUCAAAUAUACAUCCCAAUCAUUAUGAUGAACCACCACAAAUACUUGCAACAUAUCUUUUAAGGUCUGAUUUAUACAUUCUAUUUGUCUAUCUCUUUGAAAAUAGAAGGCUGUAGACAUGGUAGGUCAUGUGCCUAAUAGCUUGAACAAGGCUUCCCAAAAACUUCUUAUAAAGUAUAGAUCUGGAUUUAAAAUGAUGAUAUAAGAUAAUCUAUGGUGACAAAUGACAGUAUCAAAGUAGACUCAUGCAAGUACUAAGGCAUCAAUAUUUAAGCACAUUAUGGCCAAGUGAAGUUGCUUCAAGAGUUGAUCCACAAAGAUAGCAAUCGUGAUAUGAUUAUGAGGUGUCUAUAACAAAUAUGUAAUAAAAUCCAUAGUCACUUGCUUUCAAUGUCUUGUAGGUAGCAAAAUUGGCUACAAUAAUCUAAAAGACAUUGUAUUACAUGCUUUAUUAUAUUGACAUGACUUGCAAGAGCAUAUAAAAGCUUAAACAACAUGAUUCAAACUUGUUCAAAAUCAUAUCUUUAAAAAUCAUUCAAGAGUCUUUUUUUGCCCUAAAUGUCUAAAUAUUAGAAUAUCAUGUUUUUUUUGAAAUAUGUUCAUCCAAAGUAUAGUAUUAUUGGAUAUAUAUAUUUUUUUUUUGAAAUAAAGCAAGCCAUCAUUAAGAUUGUAAUCUUAAUACCAUAUAUUGUUUAUCUUCAGUUGAUCGUUCAUCAUCUUAAAAUAAGUAUCCUAAUGCAUAGCUUCCUUCCAUUCUAUCUCUUUGAUUAGAUUUGAAAUGACACUACUAAUGGUAGUGACUUUUACCUUCUUUGUUGAUUUUUCUUUUAAGUCUAGUCUCCACAAUAAGCUGUUUGGUAUAGUAUGUUGUUGCCUUUACUUAUAUUCAAGCUAGAUAACAAAAAGUUGUAACUGUUCUUUCCAUCAAUGAUGUCAUGAUUUCAUAUUUUUUAGAUGUAAAUCAUUUAGCAAGGUCAAUGGUUAAUCCAAAUAAUCAAUGGCUUCUUCAAUAAAUAGUGUCGCUAUAUCUUUGUAAUAUAAAUAAUUGCUAAGUGCUCUUGAUCAUAUAUAGAGUAAUUGCACUUUGUCCUUCUGAAUUUGCAUGAUUCAUAUACCAGAGAUUGAAGGCCUUUACCAAAGUCUUAUUGAAGGACCACUCCAAUAGCAAAGUCAAAAGCAUCAAUGUCAAGUAUAUAAAGAAAGUUGAAAUCAUACAGUUGCAAUAUUGGAGCAAUAAUAAGUGCCUCCUUUAACCUAUCAAAGAUGCUUUUGGUGCUCUAAUUUCCAUUCAAAUCGCCUACUAUUCUCCAAUAGAUUUGUCAAUGAGACAACAAUGUAUGCAAAUUGCCAAACAAAAUGGUGAUAAUAUCCAGUAAGGCCUAAAAAUAAAUAAACUUCAGAAGCAUCUUUGACGAUUUAUCAAUCCUCUACUACUUUCAACUUAUUUUGUUCUAUAUGCAUGCCUUUAGACGACACCACAUGCUCAAAAAGAUGACUUUUGACUUCCAAAGUUUACAUUUUGAUUGCUUGCAAUAAAAGUGAUUAUCUUAUAGUCGACAUAAUACUUCUUCUAGAUGUUGUUCAUGCUUUUUAAGGAUUUUACUGUAUAUGAGGAUAUCAUCAAUGAAAAAAACUACAUACUUAUUCAAAAGGUCUUGAAAUAAUCUAUUCAUAUGAUCUAUGAAAGAGGCUAGAGUAUAAAUGAGGUCAAAAGGUAAAACCUAACCAUUUAAAAUAUCCAUAGUACAUUGCCAUAGCAAGAGUCUGCUUUGGGUACAAGUAGGGUCCCUCUUUGCAUUCAAGUUGAAUCUAAUAUGCACAAAAUCUUCUUAAAUUUUCCUUUGAGUAUUUACAAAAUUAUAUUUGUAAUAAACUAAAAAACUUGAAGUUUAAAAAUUCAUAUUCCAAGAUCUAGCUAUUCAAAUAAGCUUAAAAUUUGGGAGUACAGAACUUAUACCUUUGAUCAUUAUUACACAAAUUUUGAGCUACAAAUUUAUUACUGAUCGUCUGAUAUCACCAAAUCCUUAACAUGUGCUUUUUAAAGUCAAAACCAAAUUCGUGUCAUGAUGUAAAAUGGCUAAUAGGUGAAAAGGUGAAGAAAAUAUCAUAAUUUUGAAGAUCUUAUUUCAAAUAUAUUGUAACAAAUUAUCUUACAAAAAUAAAUAAUAGUCAAAGAGUUGAAAUGUUAAAAGUGUUAAUAUUACUUUUUUACAAAAUAGGCUUCUAUUUACUUUGUAGGACCACAAAUAUAGCAAAAUAAGAUAGAUUAGAAAAAUAAACAAUAUAGAUACCUUUAGAAAAAAUUAAGAAUAGUUUCCAAUAAAAAUCAUCUAGAAAAAUUAGAUAGUGAUACCCAAGAGGGCCGGUAAUGAACUUGGAUCAAAAUCAAACCUCGAGGCACAAAACCAAACUUUAACAAUGAUUUUGGAGUUUUUUGGCAAAUCAAAGAGUAAAAUUAGAGAACAAACUUGAUAGGAUUUUAAUAAACAUUAAUUUGGGAUGAUUUAGAUUUAUAUUGACUUUAUAAAAGCUUUGUAAAGUCAGGGUUUGUUUUGGAUGACUGUGGAUUUGUGAAAUAAAAGGAGAGAUACUUUUUGUAGAAUUUCGUAAGUUUGGCAAUAGAUCUACAAAUGAAAUUUAAGAAAUUUGUAGAUUUAUAUGUGUUCAAUAUAUGCUAUUAGUUUGAGCUUGAUCAAAAGGUCGGAUCGAGGAUUAUUAAGGAUUAAGUGGAUCGGGGUCUUGAAAAGUAGAGUUUUAGGUUUAGUAAAGGUUUUUAGUAUUUCUUACAAUCUAUUAGUUGGAUUGAAGUAAAAACUAUAUAUAUAGAUAGUAGACUUAUUUUUCUAUGUAUUUGAAAAAUUUAAAAUCAAUUGAACACUUUGAUAAAGAGAUAUUGGCAUUGGAAAUUUAACAUUCAGAUUGGAAAAGGAGACUAGCCAACAUCCGAGUAAAUAUUAUGAUUGAUCUUCUUAUUAGUGAGUUUGAUCUUCUUCAAAACAUUUGUACUUGUUGUCAACUUAAUUUGCUUAAGAAUCUAUUCAAGUUGUUAGGACUUAUUGUUGCAAUUUUUCUUUUAUCUCCCAUAGCCAAGUGCCCGGUGUAUUCUCAAGCGAGAUGCUAUAUAAUACUACACUGAAAACUUAAAAAUUCAUAUCCCAAGAUCUAGCUAUUCAAAUAAGCUUAAAAUUUGGAAGUAUAGAACUUAUAUCUUUGAAAAUUAUCACAAAAAAUUCAGCUAUAAAUUUGUUAUUGAUUGUCUAAUAUCACCAAAUCCUUAAUAUGUUCUUUUGAAAGCCAAAACCAAACCAGAAACUAGAAAAUUUAUAUCCCAAGAUCUAACCUUUCAAAUAAGCUCAAAAAUUGGGAGUAAAAAACUUACACCUUUAAUCAUCAUUAGAUAAAUUUUUAGCUACAAAUUCAUUGUUAAUCGACUAAUAUCACCAAAUCUUUAUCAGAUACUUUUGAAAGUCAAAAUCUUAGACAAAAUAGAAAAUCAUUAGAAUGAAUUUUUUUCCAUUUUUCCCAAGUCAAAGUCUCAAUUGAUAUGAGAUAUUAGACAUAGGCUCUUUAUAUCAUCAGUGAUAUAUAUACAAAAAAUAAGAGCUUCAAAUUUUUCUUGAAGCUCAAGUUUUAACUUAAAACCAAAACCCUCUAUUUCUCUAAUUUCUUCAAAAUCUUAGUUUUAGUUUCUUAGUUUUAACUAGCCAUAUCUCACUCAUUCUAGACUCAAUUCUAUUAAUCUUUGGAUGUAACAUAUUAAACUUAAAGUCUAAUUUCUAAUCCAAUUCUCUAAUUUCUUGCUAAUAUCUUAAAACUCUUAAUAUGUAUAAAAAAGUGACAAUAGAUAUCAAAUUAGUAGCCUAAGUUUAAACAAACAUAUCUCUCUCAACUAGGCUCUAAUUUGUGUAUUUUAUUUUACCUAAACUCAUGCCAAGAAGUUACUCUCUCUGAAUAUCUAUUCUCAAUUUGAAAAAAAAAUCCCUCUCCAUACUUCCGAGCUUGCCAAAGAAGUCGCUGCCAAGGUCUUCAAAGUCCAAGUCAAAAACUAAUAGUUUAAAGUUAAAAAAUACCAAAUCUAAUCCUCCAAAUUAGUAAUAUUAAUGGCAAUCAACUAAUACUUUUCAAACUUCUAUUUAUCUUUAAUAAAAACCUAAAUACAACCUCAAAGUCAAAGUUCUUCUUACAUCUAUUAAUAUAACUAUGAAUUUAUUAAAAUCAAAGAUUAGAAAGAAAAUAAAAGAAAUAAAAGAAUUUUUCAAGGCUAAUCCAAAGAUAAAAUUAAGAUUAAAGAUAAAAUAAAAUUUAGCCAAUUUUUUUAAAAAAUAAUAAAAAAAAAAUACAAAAAAAAAAAAAAAAAAAAAAAAAUUCUCUAAAACUAUAAAAAAAAAAAACUAGAUUGAUAAGUAGAAAAAAAAACCUCAUAAAAGUUUAAAGAAAAUUAAGUCAAGCAAGGUUUCUAUAUAUGAAUGUAUUUACAUUACAACAGUGUAUGAAAUGCCAUAUUUUCUACAUCCUUUCUUACAAUAGGUGUCUGUCAAUAGCCACUCCAAAGAUCCAAUUUACUAAAGAUGGUUGCACCUUGAAGUUGGUUAAGAAGAUCAUCUACAUGUGGAAGAGGAUAUGCAUUCUUAACAAUUUACUUAUUAAGGCCUCGAUAAUCGAUGCAAAGGCAAAGUUCAUCAUUCUUCUUUGAUGCAAAGAAUAUAGGUGUUUUCUAUAGUGAUGUAUUUUUUCAAAUGAGGCCUUUAUCCAAGUUUUCAUCUAAUGUCUUUGCAGCUCUUUAAGUUCUUUUGAUGCUAAGCAAUAAAUUAGUUGACUUACUAGUUUGGCUUCAAAAAAUAAUUAUAUUCAAAAAGAGGCACCUUGAUCAAAAGACAUGCCACUAAAUAGGUUGGUUGAAAAGACAUUCUAAUAUUCUCGUAUUAAUUGAUAUGCCCGUUCUACUUGUUUGGUUGUCUUUCCCACAACUGAUGCAAGAUUUGAAACUACUAUAUUUACCAAUUAUUUAUGUUAUAUUUACUUCUUCAUAAAGGCUGUCUCUACUAGUAAGUCUUUUUUUGCAUAUUAUCUUUUCUAUUCACUUGAUGUGUAGGUGCAAAGAGUCAUCUUACAUUGUCAUAUUACAUGAAGUCUUGUUUGAGAAUGCACCGAGCACCGGGCUGUGGAAGGUAAAAGAAAAUUACAACAAAAGGUCCUAACAAUCCAAUAGGAUUAUAGAGAAUUUAUAAUUAAAUGUUAACAAUCAUAAUCAAACAUUAAGCAAGCUUAAUUAAAUUUUAUUGAAGUUAUAAAAGAAACAUAAGAAAAUUCUAAAGAAAUAUAGAAGAAUAUUAAAAAAAACUUAGUCAAAUCCUAACAAAAAUCUAAUAGAACCUUAAAUUCUAACCAAAUCCUAAUCCUAAUCCAACCUUAAUCAAACCCUAGAUAAAUCCUAAAUCCUAAAUCAAAUCCUAAUCAAACCUUAAUCCCUAACUAAACCCUAAUCCAAAUCUUAAACCCUAAUCUAAACCCUAAAUCCUAAAUCCUAAACCAAAUCCUAUCCAAAUCCUAAACCCUAAACCAAACCCUAAUCCAAAUCCUAAUCUAAACCCUAAAUCCUAAACCAAACCUUUAACCAAACUCUAAUCAAAUCCUAAACCCUAAAUCAAACCCUAUCCAAAUCCUAAACCCCAAAUCAAAUCCUAAUAAUUCUUACAACAGAUUUAAACCUCAAUAACUAAUGAAUAAACCGUUGAUCUUAAUUGAAAUUUUGUAUACUUCUAAAACAAUAAGUUAAAAACAAGCACAAAAAAUUUGAUAAGGAUCGGAGUUACCAUAUUGACGAUAUCCUCAAAAAUGUGCUCGGGUAUUGGCUGGCCUCCUUCUCCAAUCUUGAUGCCAAUCUUCUAGAGCCAAUAUCUCUCCUUUUCACCUUUCGAUUAAUCUCAAAAUUCUCAUACGCAUAGAAAAACAAGUCUUAUAUCCUCUCACACACGUUUCACUCCAAUCCAACUAGUAGAUUCCAAGAAAUCUUAAAAAAACCUCACUAGACCUAAAAUUCUACUUUCUAAGACCUUGAUCCACUUAAACCUCAAUAUCCUUCAAUUUAACUGUUAGAUCGAGCUCAAAUUCACUACACAUAUUUAACACAACUAUAAUCAUAAACCUACAAAAUUUCACCCAUAGAUCUAUUACAAAACUCUUGAAAUCACCCAAAAUGUAAACCCUAUUUUAUUUCAUAAAACCCAAGUCAUCUGAAAUAAAUCUUGACUUUGCAAAGCUAUUACAAAGUCAAUACAGAUCUAAAUCACCCAAAACCAACACCCAUAGAAACCCUAUUCAAUCUUCUAUCAGACCCCACUCUUCGAUCUGCCAAAGAGUCCUAGAGUCGCUAUCAGAGCACGGUUUUGUGCCUCGGGGUCUGAUUUCGACCCAGGUUCAUAACUGGUCCUCUUCGGGUAUCAACUUUCGUCUUCUUGAGGUAAUUUUUACUAAUUUGUACUCCUAACUCCUUCCUACAUAUGCCUAUAUCCUUUAUUUUUCUAAUCUACCUCAUUUUGCUUUAUUUAUGGCCUUAUAAAGUAAAUAGAAGCAUAAUUUUUAAAUAGGUAGCAUUAGCACCUUUAAUUAUUCUAUCCUUUGACUAAUAUCUAUUUUUCUAAGUUAAUUUGCUAUAAUAUUUUUGAAGUGAGAUCCUCAAAACAUGAUAUUUUCUUCACCCAUUCACUUGUUAUCCAUAUUACAUCACGACAACUUCUACCACCAUUAGAAGAGAUUAUCUUUGCUAUCCAAUCAAAUUGCUUAUUUUACAUCUUUAGCUAUGGCAUACCCAAGAUAACAUCAUAUCUUAGCUUUGUCACUUUAAACCUCUCUCUUAAGACACUAUCGUAUUAUGGUUUGGCUACCAUUUGAAAAUAAUGUGUUUAUAUAUUUAAUGUAUAAUUUAUUUAGCAACAUGGUGAAAGCCAUGUUAUUGGAUUUUACUUGAUUGUAGAAUGUGGUUUAAUUACUAAUUUAAAAAGAGAUUUUUUAGAAAGAUUACUAUUAGAAUUUUUAUAACUUAAUUUUUUUUUGAUAGUGACUUUUGAAGUUGGUUUUUUUGGUAGUAACUUGGUACAUGUAGAGUCACUUUGAUUAUAUAUUGGUGAUUCUUAAAGUUUUAUUUUGGUUCUUUAAUUUGGUGUUUAAGGCAUAUAAUAUGUAAAUCUUAUACAAAAAAGAAUUGAAGAGGAAUUUUGGUAGUAAAAAAGGUAGUUAGGAUAUCUAUAUGAAUGAAUGGAAAUGGAUGAUAUAAAUCUCCAUUCCUAUUGGUCAAAAACCAUGACGAAUGGACUUCAAGGAAGGUGCCCAAGUCCAUAUUAGAAAUUAGGAUUAGUCUUUUGGAGACAAUUAAAUAUCAAAGGCUAGGAUUUUUUGCUAUGGUUUUAGUGUAAAUUUUGAGUCAAUUGGAGUUUUAAUGAAGGAGAUAUAGGCGCUCAAAGUCAAGAAGUUGGUAUUAUAUCUACUAUCAUUCUUUUGGAUAUAACACAUGCAUAUAGAAAGCAACAGAAAAUCGGUGACUAGGAUUGGAGAGAAAAUUUUGGAUACAAUUUUGGCAUAUUUUUUGAUGGAUUCUAAGUUUGGAUGAAAGAGAUAUUGGAGGUUGAAAUCAGUGGUUGAAAAUCUAAGGGUAAUAAGUCAUCCAAUUCACUAGUAGUUGUAUUUUGAACUAUAUCUUGAGAAAUUUGAUAAGAUUUUGGCUCAAAAAUUCCAAGAAUGUGUGUAAUUAUGUUAAUAAACUUUACAUAAAAAUUUUGUGGCAUUUGGAUUUUGGAUUUGUGAGAUAUGAAGAAAAUAGUAGUCAAGUGCUUCUAAAUUAGGUUUUGAAGUGCCUGUUAGGAUUUUAAGAUACUAAAAAAUUAAUAGCAAAUUAAUAGUUGAAUUUUUUUUAUAGUAAUGCUUAAGAAUAAAAACUAUAUUAUCUGAAAAUUUUACAAAAAUUGAAUGGUUGGAUCAAGAGAUAUGAAUUUUUAAAGUUCGGGAAGAAGAAAAUCUAUGCAAGAAAAAUAUGUUUUGUAAGGAUUUUAUCACAAUUUGAGUAUUUUAUACAAAGUAAAGGGAUUUUUUGGAAGUCAAGACUUUAUGUAUAUGUUGAAAAUGGAUAUAUAGAGCUAUGGUUAAAUUUUGAUAUAAAUAUGAGUUUUUGAGAGGAGAUUAUGGAUUUUCUUUGGAAUUAUUGAAAAUCUAACUUAUAAAAAAAUGGUUAAUUAUUAUUUGGGAUAACCAAGAAUGUUAGAGAAUUUUUAGAUAUUUUAGAAAGCCUUAUAUAAAAACCUUCUUAAAUAUAAGAUAUUUUAUUAAUAUAAUAUCUUUUUGAUAUUAUAAUUUUUAUUUGUCUUCUACUUUAAAGGUUAAGUAGCUUAUUGGAACUUGGUCCAUAAGUUAAAACUAAACUCUCUACAGCUAGGUAUCCAAUGUAUUUCCAAAUAGAAUACCAUGCAAUAUAACAAUAUAUGUAUUAAUCAACCUCAAGGUUUUUUUUUCACAUAUCUCAUUCAAUAUGUUCUUCGGUCAUUUGUAAGGUAUAUACUUUCUUCUUUGAUUGCCUUAAUUUUAAUUCCAAAUUAGUGGGUAAUUACAAUUGAAAUACAAUUUCUUGUAGAACCACAAUCUACAAGCAUUUGACAUAGUUGUCCUCUUAAUAGUCCCAUUAGAUACACUAGUUAAUUCUUUUUAUAGUUAUCUAAGGCCAUGCUAUUUACCUUUCAGAGAAAAUAGCUACUCCCACUAUUGGCCCUUGAUACCUUUACUAGGAAGCUCCAUUUUUUUGCUCUAUAUCAUUAUCAACUUGGUGAAUUUUAAGAAUAAAAACUAGCCUUAUUUUAUUGGGGCUUGAAUUUUGAUGUUUUAAACAACCUUCACUCUGAUGGCCUGGCUCUCAAAAAUAAUAACACAAUCCCUUUUAUAUCAAUAUUUUUUGUCUUUCUAGUAUUAAUGAUCUUUAUAGGGCAUCAAUUUCUAUUGAAGUUGGUUGUUGUGCCAUCAUAUUAGAUAGCAGCAUAUAACUUGGUGCUAUAGAUUGUGCUAUUUAAUAUUUGAAAUCUAUACCAUCAAUUCUCUCUACAAUUUGAAUUGCGUCUUCAAACAUUUGUGGAUCCUUUAAUUCCACUUCUUCUUAGAUCAUAGGUUUUAAACCUUACAGAAAUUGAUCCAUUAUCUCUACCUCCAAAACAUUUUUAAUUUAAAGAUAUAACAACUUAAAUCAAGAAACAUAAUCUUAUACCAACUUAAAUUAUAUAAGACUUAUCAAGUGAUUGUGUGCUAUCUUUUUCGUAUUGAUGGACUAAAAUUUAUUCCUAAAUUUGGUCUCAAACUCCUCUCAAUUACAUAAUCUACCUUGAGCUUUAUAGCUUUGAACUUAAUAUUGCUACCAAAUGGCUACUAUAUCUCUCAAAUAGCUAGCUGCAUAUAUAAUUCUUUCAGUGGUAUUUUCUUUAGAUAUUUUGAAGUAUUGUUACAUGUUGAAGAGCCAUUGACAUACAUCUUCUUGUCUUGAAGUUCUAAAAUAUGUACUAGGCUUACUCAAUUUCAGCCUAGCAAAUGUCAACUUCCUCAAGGCUUCUAUUUGUCCUUGCAAAGUAGCUAUCUGGCCAAUAAGGUGUUGUAUUUGAGUCUCCAUGUAGGAUUGCUCUACCAUAUCUCCCAUGCUAUAAUUUCUCCAUUAGAUUCUACUUUUAUAAUACCUUCUUAUUUUUUAAUUGAUUUUUUAAGAAUAGUUCAUGGUAGCUUCAAUAUAAUAUCCAGUGUCAUUACAACUACUAAUCUUAGACUAAAUGAUGACUAUCAAUAUAGUUCCAAAGAACACUCUAAUACUUACUCAGCUACCAAUGAAACAUGACUGAUCUAUUUCAAGAAUUCAAGAUCCUUCUAAUCCACUAUAACAUAAAAUUUCAUCACAAGAUAGGACAAACUUGAUCAAAAUAAAUUAAAUAGAAUUAAACAGAAUGAGAUACAAAAGACAAAAUUGAGGAAACUGAAUUAGAAAAAAUAUAUAUAUAUAUAUAUAUAUAUAUAUAUAUAUAUAUAUAUAUAUAAAAAAUCCAUUUGUAUUAAAAAAAAGAUUUCGAAGCCAUACUUGACCUAAUGCUCUAAAAGGCCAUGGCCAAUUCCAUUUAUAGUUUAUUUUAUUUUCUAGAAUGUUUUUAGUUGAUAGACCUUAUUUAGAUAACUGCCUUAAACUCUUUUUAGAUGAUUCUAUAGUAGAUGUUAUUUAGAUAACUGCCACAAGUCUAUUCUAGAAGGUUCUAUGGUGGAUGUGAUUGCUCGUUUUACUUAUUUUAAAUUAAUCUAAUGGAAAUAAACUCAUAUAGGGAGAUUCGAACACAGGGAAUGACUAGUUGCUUAAGCGUUCACGUUAAGGUCACACAAUCAAUUAUCUCCUGAAUGUAUCGUCUCUAUUUUCAAUAUCUAAACACACAAGGAAACUAUAAUCUCUUCCUUCACCUUAUCGGUCUCUUCUUUACAGUAAUUCAGUCAUAUCAAUAACUGCUAUUUCUACCAAUAUAUUCACCCUCAUAUUCUCCAACUAUAAUACUGCACCCUCAUAGCUUUCAGCACACAAUUAUCCUUAUUCCAAUCACUAGAAUUCUUCACAUAGAACUGCCAUUCACAUUACAGUGUUUCACACAAACACAGACUCAUUCUCUUUGCUAAACUACAAUCAGAUUUCAGCAUUCAAUCUUUCUUCUUCUCAAAUAAUACCAAUCACAUUUCCAUUCCAUAAUUCACUUCACAAUAUUUAGAAACUCUCAAUCCUCUUAUUCAAAGAAAAUAACAAAUAAAAAAAAAGAGGUAGCACCAAGCUUACCCCUGCUCACAACUAUCACAGAGAUGGCAUUUUCUUCCCCUCUCCCAUCCUCCUUAUACUACUCCAAGAUACCAACUCCUAUACUAUAGAUGAUAACUACUUUUCUUGACUAUCCAUCCAUUCUACCUACUGAACCACCUUUUAACAGUUAUCUAUCCCUGUUUAUACUAUACACUAGGUAUCUUUAUUAUGUAAAAUAACUACUUAUUCUACAUAGCCCCACUCCUAACUAUGCAGUGUCUUCGCAAACACUCAAUUGAUACCUAUCUAAAAAUUAUCUAACGAAUCUCUACAAAGUUAUUAGUUCCUCUGGCCCACCUAAUUAAUCAUUUGCUGCAUUAUCGAAUGUAGGUUCGACCAAAUCUGGUUCCAAUUUCAAAUCUUCUUCUUUUUCCUCCAGUCCAUCAACUCCUUCCUCAACUGGUUUGAUAGAUCUUCAUUAUACUCACCCAGUACACGGACUUGAGUAUCCAGUUUCAAGAUCUUGACAUCCCGAAGUUCCAAUUGUUAUUGCUGACUCAUCCAUUCUGAAAUAUCUUCAAUCAACACUUGUGACCGGCUCCUCACUGUUAAUUCUUAACUGGAACUACUAUUCUCGAAAACACAAGAAAUACAAGAAAAUGGCACUCUAGUCAAUCCAAAAUAAUAUCACAAAAUGACUUUAACUGGUGCCCCACUCUUAAUCUUUUACCUAGUGGUGAUAAUCAUAACAUGUUAUCCAUACUAUUCGUGAAAGGUAAUGGGAAGGAAUCUUUCUUCGUGGCCAUAUUAAGUUUCUGGAAAUCCUGAUAAAUUCGGAUUUUUCCAUUCUUUUUUGGUACCAUCAUAAUUGGCGACACCCAUGCACUAUGCAGAACAGGAUAAAUAAAAUCCACAUUGAAAAGUUUAUCCAAUUCUUCUUUCACUAAAAGAGAAUAUUUUAGGUUAAGCCGGUGUUGUCUUUGACAAACUGACAUAACACCCUCCUCCAAAAUAAUCUGGUGCUCACACACAUCAACUGGAAUCCCUUUCAAAUCCGCAUAUGACUACGGAAAGGUAGAUUUGUGAUGGACGAAAAACUGUUUUGAAGCAUCCAAUUCUGUACCUAUAAUGCCGAUAUAUAUUUUAAUUAGUUGUGGCGUUUUGUUGGUGCCCAGGUUAAUGGAUUGACAUAUAGGGUCUUCAACAAUCUCUGAUUUAAUUGUCUUCUCCAGAACUGAAUAUCUUGUAUUAUUCGACAUAUGGAAACCACCCAAAUCUGGUUCUAAUAUGCUGACUCUAUUGACUUCAAAAUUAUUCAUCCAUUUGAUAAUAGUAUGAUACGAGUUAGUCGUAUCUUCUUGAUGUAGUAAAUAUUCACCAGGAUCUCCACAUUGGUAGACUCCUGCCUUUGCUGUUGAAGUAUUUUUUCCUACCUCAAAUUAUGGUGAACCUAUAGCAUUGACAUCUUUCUUAAUCAAUUGACUCUUGUUGUCCGAUAUAAAUUCUGAUUCUGGCAAUUGAGAUUCUCGAUGAUAUUGUACCAGAUACAUCUGUAGAAUAAUCUAGUCACGACCUUUUUCAAUUGUCAAUGUGCCUCAGCCCCAAUCGUUCUUAGAUUUGGCUUGAUAAAGCCAAGGUUCACUCAAUAAAAUGGGAUACGAUAAUGUAGAACUCUGUAAUCGAAAUAUAAUAUAAUCGAUUUUGUAUGUCAAUCUCGUAAUUACAAUGGCAAUAUUUUGUAAGAUUUCUAUUGGCUUUAUCCAACUAUGAUCUGUUAUUCGUAAGAUCAAUGUCGUAGGUAGCAAUUCCUUUAGAUCCAAGUCCUCCAUUGUAUCCACGUUCAUUAAAUUCACACUGGAGCCACCAUCGACGUGUACUCCUGGAAUUAAAACGCCAUCAAUUGAUACAUCGAUUGUUGGUGCUCCCGGAUCUGGGUUUAAGCUAACUUCAUGAAUUUCUUUAGUGCAGGAUCUUCGUCAUAUAAGCGCUAAAUUCAAUGUAGAUCGAUAUUCUAGUACUACAGCCAAAAGUUUCUUCAUUGUAAUUGAAGGCUGAAUAAUAUCUAAAUCCUUCAAAAUGUCAUAGGGUUCCAUAUUGAGAGUAAUUUUUAAUGCUCUUUUGUAUUUCAUUGGUUUCGAUUUUACUCCGUUCGGCAGCAAUUCCUUCUUAGCGAUUGGGAUUGCCUCUGGUAACUUUACCAACUUUUCUACCACUAAAGGUUCCUUUAAUGCGUAAGAUCUUUUAUUGAGCUGUACAGGUAUUGGUAGUUGGUCAGUUGGGAUCGUUCUAGAUGGUCCCGACAAAUUGGCACGUGGAACCGAAUUGGAUUCCUCAGUUUAUUGAGGUCUCAAUAUUGAAAUAUGUCCCAAUACUGAUAUUGGUUUGUUUAGCCCCGUGGAUGGUGCUACUUGCUCUCCUGCGAUUGAUUCAUCCAAGUCCUGAAUUAGAUUCUUGUCUUUUUUUUGGCCUCUAGUAAGCACUGCAUUCACCACCUCGACAUGAUGUACUGAUGAGUCUCGUUGAACAGGACCUUUGUCCUCCGUCAGUUGACUUAUUUAUAUUUGCUGGUCCCGAUUAUUAUAAUUAAAGGGCGUAUUGCACUACUGAUAAGUGUGACCAGAUUGCUUAUAAUUUCCACAUAUUGGAGCAUAGUCAUCACUAGCCCUUGGAUUAGGACAUUCACUCGCAUAAUGUCCGAUUUGUCUGCAACGAUAGCAACAAAGUGGUCUCCUACCAACUCCUUCAAGGAUAUUGGAUGUCUCUACUGGUAUAUAAUGGCUAGAUUUGUUCCAUGUCGGAUGAGUAAAGGAUCGUGGUUGACCCAUUGUUAGUGUAGACUCUGGCAUUAACUUCAUCAUAGGUAGAUAUUGAUGGUAUCUUGGUUGGUUCAUUGCCAAUCCGUGAGUAUUGGAUAUACCUUCUUGGUGAAAUUCAGAGUUUAAAAAAUUGGAAUAAUUCCUGUUUUAUUUAUUCACUCGAUUUCCAUUCCAACCAAACCUAUUAUUCAAUUGUACUUGAUUGACAUCCCACGAAGUUGUUUGAAUCAUUAUCUAGUUACUGAGUUGUUGUUACUUCCAUAAAUUCCAACAAUUGGUAGUAAUAUGCUUGCCCCCACAAAAGAUACAUUGUACAGUCAUUUAGGGAGAUGAAGGAUAUUUUGUUACUAAAUGACCUUGCUCCUUACAAUUGUUGCACCAGACAUUGGGAUGCAAAUUGGUUGGUUUAUACCUUUUUUCUUUAUCCUUGGCUAGAUUCACAACCAAUUCAUCCAUUUUUUUUGUCAAUGUUAACAACAAUGACUCAUUGGGAUCCCUUGAUACCAAUGCAUUUGGCAAUUCCUUUGUAGGUAUUGGUUUUUGAUAUGCGGAAUAAGGGACAUAUGAUUGUGAUGAUGAUGGUGGUAUAGCUUGCAAUAGAACAACAUCCACUAUUUCCUAUGGAAUUGUACCAUAAUCAUUCUUUCCUGGAUAACUUUCCGAUGCAUCAUUCCAAUUUGUCAUUUAAUAACCUCCUUGAGAUGGAAUCAUCAUGGCUCUAACUGUUAAGUUUUGGUCAUAGUGACAUUCCUUCCAUACUUUUGCUCACUCAAGAGAUGAUGCAAUGGUGGCUGAUAGGGCCUCCUUUACAAACAUCUUCAAUUAUGGUGGAUGUAGUCCAUUAAUCAAUAUGGACAGCACAAAUGAUUUUGGCAUUCGGUUAUUUGGCCAUUUUCGAAGUAAAUCUGCUAUGCGAUCAUAAUAUGAUUGUACCGCUUUCCUUGGUAUCAUUUUGCUGUUCAUUAAUUUUUCUCUAAGACGUUCUUCAAAACUAAUUGAUCAAAAAUGGGCUAAAAAUAUAUUUUUCAAUGCUUCCCAAUUCGGAAAUUGACCCACUGGUUGGCGGUUGUACCAUUCAAAUGCCGUGUCUUUUAAGGUCGAUGGCAGCCAUUACAACCAAAUAUCUUCAAUUCUGCCAUUAUUAGCUAUACAUACUAUAAAAAAUUGAGAAAAAUAUUGAUCGAGAUCCGCAUCUAAAAAUCCCCAAAAAGUAGGUAAUGGCACAACACUAAUCGUACGAUCGCCUACUGCACCCAUUUGUAGUACAAUCGAAAUGGUUGGUCCUCCUGACGCCAUUGAAUUUCUUGUUCUGCUAAACUCCAUUUUAAAAUAAUCUCUACUUUUUUUUAUUCUAAUUUCCAAGCUGUCAGUACUCCUUGAUUUACUGUUAUUAUCUACAAAUAGUUUUAUUGGUUGAAUUACAGGUGAAAACGUCAGAUUUUGAAAUACAAUAUAGUUAUCUUUAUUGGCAACUAAUUUGUGCCAAUCUGAAGAGCCACUAUUGCUCGUUUCAACAAUACCCCCUAUUAGAAAAAUACCCAAUGGAGUACCAAAUUCUUCUACGCCUCCUUCUCUUUUAGUUAACGGCCUCAAGAUUUCUACUGGAAUGUUAACAAAAUUUUCCAUGAGUCUUCUUGAUAGUUUUUCUAAUGGUACAUACGACUGAAGAAUUGACAGUCUGUCCAGUUCUUGAUAUGUUUGGAUGCGUCAACAAGCUUGCAACCAUGGUUUAAUCCAAUUUCAUCAAUGCUUCUUUUUAAGAUUACAUUCUUGCUCCUCUCUAAGCAAGUUCCUUCCUUGCGCUCUUCCCUGUCUUUCUCUCAACUGAUUUAUUUUCCUCAAUGCAAUGCUCUCAUUCUUAUUAACCAUAAUCUUGCUUCAAAUAUUACUAAAAUCGUCUUCCAUUACCAAUUUUCUCACACGUUUGGUAAUUAAUUCCUAACACUCAAAGCUAUUAUCACUCCUUGGAAGCAGUGCCAAAAUGUGAUUGCUCGUUUUACUUAUUCCAAAUUAAUCUGAUGAAAAUAAACUCAUAUAGGGGGAUUCAAACAUGGGGAAUGACUAGUUGCUUAAGCGUUCACAUUAGGAUCACAUAAUCAAUUACCUCCUGAAUGUAUCAUCUCUAUUUUCAAUAUCUAAACACACAAGGAAACUAUAAUCUCUUCCUUCACCUUAUCGGUCUCUUCCUUAUAAUAAUUUAGUCAUACCAAUAACUGCUAUUUCCACCAAUAUAUUCACCCUCAUAAUCUCCAACUAUAAUAUUGUGCCCUCACAUCUUUCAGCACACAAUUACCCUCAUUCCAAUCACUGAAAUUCUUCACACAGAACUGCCAUUCACAUUAGAAUGUUUCACACAAACACAGACUCAUUCUCUCUAGUGAACUACAAUCAGAUUUUAGCAUUCAAUCUUUCUUCUUCUCAAAUAAUACCAAUCACAUUUCUAUUCCAUAAUUCACUUCACAAUAUUUUGAAACUCUCAAUUCUCAUAUUCAAAUAAAAUAACAAACAAAAGAAAAGAGGUAGCACCAAGCUUAUCCCGACUCACAACUAUCAUAGCGAUGGCUUUUUCUUCCCCUCUUCCAUCCUCCUUAUACUACCUCGAGAUACCAACUCCUAUACUACAGUUAAUAACUAUUUUUCUUGACUAUUCAUCCAUUCUACUUGCUGAACCACCUUUUCAACAAUUAUCUAUCCAUGUUUACACUAUAUACUAGGUAUCUUCAUUAUGUAAAAUAACUACUUAUUCUACAGUGGUUUACACUUAGAUGACUACCCUAAAUUCUUUUCAGAAUGUUCCAUGGUAGAUCCUACUUGGUCCACUAAUCUAAUUUUAAUUUUACAAACUUUGAUAACUUCUCAAAUUAAGUUUUAAUUAUCUAGCUUUAUGUAUCAAUAAUACAAAUAUCUUAUUUAUGCUUUGUUAUAUAGAUAUACUUUUGAAGAAGAGAUGAUGGUAUAUAAAAGAGGUAAAGAUUAAAACGAAAAGAGCUAUAGAAAUUCAUUUGUUAGUGGUAGAAUAGAUUUUGGUGAUGAGGUUCAAAAUUUCUAUGAAGGUUUAUAUGAAAGUAAAUUAAAAAUAUAUAUAUAUAUAUAUAUAUAUAUAUAUAUAUAUAUAUAUAUAUAGAUAUAUAUAGAAAUAUAAAUUUAUAAGAAUUUAUUUAGAUACAAUGAAGAAAAAAGAAAGAUGGAUGGAUAAAACCUUCAAAGAUAUUAGAUACCAAUUCUAUGGUUAUUUCCUUAAAGAUAGGCUUUUAUAGAAGAGGCCAAAAAGAAAUGACAAAAUUCUAUUGAGAGUAAUACAAGAUCUUAAAAUUAAAUUUUAAAUUUUAAAAGAGUAUCAUGAUACACUUUUGGCAAGACACAAAAGAAUUUGGGCCACAUAUACCAAAAUCAAAGAAAGAUAUUAAUGAAAAGGCUUACACAAAGAUAUAGAAGAUUUUUUGAGCUCAUGCAUAGAGUGUUAAUUAUAAUCUAAGAUUAAAUAUAGAAAUGGAUUACAUCUUACUUAUCUAUCUUAUAUACAUUUUCAAUGAAUAAUUGAUUUGGUAGCUACACUAUCAAAACUUUGAGAUAUGAAAUACUUAAUUUUGACAAGAAAUUAACUAUCAAAUUAUGUUGAUGGGAGGACUUUAAUAACUAAGAUUACAAAAGCAGUAUGUAGAUUUAUACUAGAAGAUAUCUUCAAAGAUAGAAAAUUAUUGGAAAGAUGAGGGCUAAUAGAAGAAAAUUGGAUACUAUGGAAGCAAGAAAAAUUUUCAGUAGAUAUAGAAUUCAAUUGAUAUAGAAUUCAAUUAAAUUUGACUAUUUUUUAUAAUUUUAAAGGCAAUGAAAAGAGUGAAAGAAGUCAUCUUCCUAUCAUUUAUGCAUUAAUUAAGGUAUAUAAAGAUAAGCCAAUUCAAUAGCCUAAAUUACUUCCAUUUUCUUUAUGGACUGAUAGAACUACUUACAGUACUAUCACUAAUUAUAUGCCUAUGGAAUUAAUAUUAGGACAAAAAUCUAUUAUGGUAGCUAAAGAAACCUAUCCUAUAUAGACAUUUCUAUUUUAGAAAUAUAAUAUUAAUAAAAAAAUAUUAUUAGAGCUUUGGAUCAAGUAAUUGAGAAUGUUACCUAAAGACUUACAAAUUUCAGCUUAGAGGUUAAAAGGAGCAAUAUUGAAAAAUAUAAAAAGAUUUGAUAGAAGUCAUAUAUUGAAGCCUAAGCAUAUAGAGAUUAGAGAUUGGAUUCUAGUUUAUAAUAGUAGCUUUGAACAUCAAUAUAACAUUGUAAAGAAAUUUAUAAAAAAUUGAUUUGGACCAAAUGUGAUAGUUAUAGUCGAUGAUAAUGCAACACAUAUCUUACAUGAGUUAAAUGGAGCUAUUAUAAGAAUUCCAAUAGUAGAGAAGAUAGUAAAGGUUUUCAAAAGAAGAGAUAGGCAAUUCAAAAUAGAUGAUCUUGAAGAAUUUUUAUUUUAAUAUUUAGUUUAAGAAUAUAAAGUAAAAGAAUCUAUAAGUGUUUCAAAGAAAUCUGAAGAAGAUGAAGAGGAGUAGCACUUGAUACAUAUCCGACAAUAUACAGGUUCAAAAGAGAUAAAUUUUGUAUUAUAAUUUUUAAUAGUAUAUAAAAAUUAAUUAAAACAUAUAAUAUAUUUAUAAGUAUUGAUGUGUAUUAGAGUAGUUAGUAAAUUAAUUUAAAUAGAAUUGAUAUAAAAAAAUUUAUUUUAAAGUUUAUCAAUUUUUAUUAUAGCAUUUAAAUUAUAUAAGAUUUAGAUAUUUAGUAUAAAAUUUAAAGAAAAAAUUGUAGCUCAAAGAUAAACAUCUAAACUUUUAAAAAACUCAUUUAGAAGGAUGAAAGUAAGAUAUGGAUGGAUGAAGAUAAGGAAUAAAUAACUUCAUCUUUAUUGAUUAAAAAUCAUGCCUAAUAGGCUCUCAAGAGGCUAUCUACAACCAUAGUAAGGAUUUUGGUGACUUCAAAAGGAGCACUUGAGAAUUAGAAGCAAGGAUCAUAAGGUUUAGAAUUUGGACUAUAAUUUGUGUAAAAAAGUUAUAGAAUUUGGAGUUAGGGUUAUGAAGUUAUAGUUGUUUGAAGUUAAGGUGUCUUUUUAAGACAUACUUUUGUUCUUUUGAGGUUAUAAUGAAUUUUACAAUAGCUUUUGGAGUUAAACAUGUGCGACUACAAGAAUGAUUUUAAAAUCUACAUCUUUUAUGAAAUAAUUUUUGUAUUUAAAGUUUAUAUGAAGGAAUUAUUGAGCAUUGAAGAUAGCAUAUGUAAUUCAAAGAGAGUAAGUGAUUUUAUUGAUAGUAAUGGUUGGAGCCAUAUCUUGAAUUUUUAGACAAAUAUUUGGCUCAAAAUUUCCAAAAUAAUAUAUUAUUAGAUUAAAAAGCAAUAUAUAAUUUUUUUAUGAUAUAUAAGUAUUUAAUUUAUGAUAUAUUAAGAAAAUUAUACAUGGGUAUGUAUAAAUAAGGAUUUAAAGCUAAUAUUAGGAUUUUGGUGAUAUUUUAAGUUUCAUAAUCAAUUUGUAGUUGAAUUUGUUGUAGUAGUUGUUGAGAAUAUAUCAAUACUUCACAUAAAAUUUUAGUUUCUUUGAACAAUCUAAUCAUGAGAUAUAAACUGUUGAAAUUUAAGAAGUUUUUACUUUAAGAAUAUAUAAGGAUUUAGAAUGUUUUUGUCACAUUUUGGAUGAUUUUUGCUACUUAAAACUUACGUAUUGAUAUAAUUGGCUCUAUAGAAAAAAAAUUAUCUAUAAACUUGGUAUUUUUCUAUUUUAUCACUUAGUUGAGCAAUUAGUGAUAGCCAAAAGUCCAUUGCUUUCUUAAAGCAAAUUCUCUCUAUCCAAAAACAGAUUUGUUAUAUGAACAUAAUAAAAAAUCUAUAUACAAUAAAAUAUAAAAGAUCUUAAAAACUUAUGUAUUUUUGUUAAAAAGUUACAUAAAUCAUUCAUCCUCUCAAUUGCAUCAAUUUUAUUUGGAUUCAAUUUUAUUCUAUAAAAUCCACCCAAAUGUCUAACAAUAAAAACUUCUCAUAUUUCAAAUAUAGAUUUUGCUUCCAAAAGUGUAACAUGAACUUUUUCAAUUUGAUAUAAAAUCUUUUUACAAUCUUGUAUAUAAUCAACAAUACACUUGUAACACCCUUACUAAUUUACAGUCUUAUUUUUUUUCUUCUUUACAUCCUUUAAUAGAAAUAUUAUCUAAAAGAUAUAUAAUUUUUUCAAAAAUAAAGUCUCUUAAUAUCUUGUUCAUUCCAUUCAUUAUAUAUGCAACUAAGUUUGCAAUAUCUUAUAAAAGAAUACAUAUUUUAAGUAAUUCAAAUAAUAUUUUUAUUAUUUUUAGAUUUCUACUUCUAUAUAUAUAUUAAAAUUGAUUAUAGUCUAAAUAUAAAUCAUUCAUUAAAUAAAUUUUCUUUCCUACAAAUGCUUUAGCAAAUACAUCUAUUAAAAGUCCUAUACUUGUAUUUCUAAUAGUUACUACAUUUAUUAUCUAAAUAUCUUGAAUAAAAUUAAUAAUCCAUUUUUUUAAGUACCAUAAAUUAAUGAUUAAAAUACAUAGUAAUAGAAUACUUUAAAAUCUUCAUUUGGAAUUUUUUUUCACUAAUUCUAUUAAUUUAUGCAAAUAUUUCCUUGAUAAAAGAAUUAAACUUAAGUUCGAAGGUAUGUGUGAAAUUUUAAAGAUAACCAUAGGAGCAAUAAUAUUGGAAUCUAAACAUCUUAUUUCAUGAGAUCCAAAAAUAAAUGAUUUUUUUCAUUUUGCAAGCAUUUUUUUAAAAUAUUCAAUUUUUACUAAUAACUAAAAACUAUCACAUUCAAUCUUUACUUCUUCCAAAGUCUCUUUUGUAAAUUUUUGUUCAAUAUUCUUUGAAUUUCUUAAAUUGUUUCCUUUGAUGCUUCUUUGUCAAGGACAAGAACUCAAUGAAAAAACAAUCCAGUCAAGUGAGCCUUCAUUCAAAGAAAGGUAAUAAAAUAUAAAUAAAUAAGUAUGUAUAUUGCAAGAGAAACUAGAAUGGCUAUUGCCGAAAGAUAAGAAAACUAGAGACCCUUGAAACUAGACUAGAAGUAAGAAAGGAAUUGACAAGAGUGAAGAAGGCUUCACUCUUGUCUCUAUAUAUACUAUCUAACUAGGUACUACGUGGCGACGUUCUAUAGGACCUCCAAUAUGUGUUAACUUUGUAGGACACAUGCCUUGACUUACAAGGCAAGUUUCUCUAUGUAUGGACCACAUAGUUAGCUUAAUCUUCAAGCUAACAACAUGUGUGGCACAUGGCCAACUUGUUGACCACGUUUCUAAUCCAAAAAGUCAAUUAAAGACACCUAUGAAGUCAAAGCAGCGUCUAUGAAGCUUCUAGAAAGCUUCCAUAUUAAAUACUAUAGAAUUAACUUACUUUUACCUAUUUUUACUUACUUCUACAUAUUUGUAUAUGUAAUUACUAGCUUACAUGAGUAUGUCCGUGACAUUACCCUCCCUUCUAGGGACGAGUUCCACGAGGAGUGGUCAUCAUAUGUUGAGAAAAUCUAUGAUGCGACGAAUUGUAUUUGCCACAUACUCUGAUCUUUAUUUUCUUGGAAGAUGAUUGAUAGGGCCUCUAAAUCAUCGGUAGUGUCCAAUACCAGGGCGGGAAGACCACCCACUUAUAUGAUCAUUGAUGAGGCCUUCAUAACUUCCUUCGAAUAAAACAUUUGGAACACCAUUGGGAGUUGUUCCUACCUCUAGCAAAAUCACCAAACAUCGGGAGUCCCUUCUCAAAUCGUGAUACCAAACACGUUAUAUCUCACCAUCUAUUCGAGGAAGAACAUGUCAUUCUUGAAGAUCUUCAUCUCGAUUGCGUCGUCUUGAAGGUUGUGACAAUCAUAAAGUCUCAUCAAGCAGGUCAGCAAAUGAAGGCACUUGAGUCAAAUCCAUUGGUUCUAGGUGCUAUAUCUCCUGAACGUCACAACUAUAAAGAAGCUACAAACAAGGAUUGAAAGUAGAAUGUUAUCUUGCAUAGAUGUUGUUUCUUUUAUAAAGAAGAUUUUUAUCUUGAUUUUGAUGGAUGUCGUUAAUGAAAAGCCUCCACCGCCUUUGCUACAUUUACAAGAUUCUUUAUUGGCUUCCAUGUGCAUUCACUAAUACCAUAUCCGCGCCAAUGGACAAGAUAUUCCAAUUUAUUUCGAUGUCGCCUUGAAUCUAAGACUUCUUCUACUUCAAACUCUUCAUUAUUGUCCACUUCUAUAGGAGGAGGUGGAGCUUGCCGUCUUCUUGGUAUGUCCACUGUCUUGUAUGGUUCAAGAAAAAAUACGUGGAAUAGUAGAUGGAUUUUUAUUGACUCUUGUAGAUGUAAACGAUAUGCAACUAGAUUGAUUUGUACAGAAAUAGAAAAUGGUCCCAGCCUUCGAUAGUCCAACUUGUCACAAGGACGAGUGGUCUUGAUAUUACGAUGAAGUAGCCAUACCUUAUCAUCUAAGAGGAAUGGUGGUUGUUCCUUUUGAUAAACAUCCGUAUUGACCUUUUGUUGUUCUUGAGCCUCUUUUAACUGCGCUUUUAUCGUUGCAUGUAGCUCUGCUAAAUGAAUCACUAAAUCUUUCGCAGCAGGAUUAUCAACUUUUGAAAAGUCAAAAGUAUGAAGUUCUCGAUGAUAACCAUAAUUAGUAAAGAAAGGUAUUUAUUUUGUAGAAAAAUGUACCGUGUUAUUAUAAGCAAACUCUGCCAAUGACAAAAGAGUUGUCCAAUCAUCUUGUUGGUAGUUAAUGAUACAUCUUAAAUAUUGCUCCAAAACUUGAUUAACACGCUCCGUUUGUCCAUUAGUUUGAGGAUGGAAUGUCAAAGAUAGUUUUAUAUCUAAUUUUAGAAUCUUAAAAAGAAACCACCAAAAACUUGAUAUAAAUUGAGUUCCCCUAUCUGAUAUAAUAUCCUUGCAUAAUCCAUGAUAGCGAUAGAUAUUGUUAAGAAAGAGCUUAGAUGUUUCUUCACCUAUAAUAGAUUUUGUACAUAGUACAAAAUUUGCCAUCUUGGUAAAACAAUCUACUAUCAUGAAUAUAGAAUCAUAAGAAUCUAAGAUUAGAAGAUCUGUGAUGAAGUCCAUAGAAACAUAAGACCAUGGUUGUUCUGGAAUGGGUAAUGGUUGAAGAAGUCCAAAAGGUCGGUUAUAAGGAGUUUUUGAUCUUGAACAAACAUCAUAUGAUUGUACAAAAUCUUUGACUGCCUUCCACAUUUGAAGCCACCAAAAAUCCCUAGAUAUCAGCUCCAAAGUCUUAUUAUAUCCAAAAUAUCCUACUGUUGGGAAGUCAGGCCAAGCUUGAAGAACACAUAAAAGUGCUUCUCCUUCUGAAAUAUAUAGGUGUCCUUCAAAAUAGAGUAGGUUAUUUUUGAAUUCAAAUUUAGAAGGAUCAUGAGAUUUAGAAGAAUUAUUCUUGAUAUCAUGAACAAGAGGGUCUGAAGUCAUACUUAACUGAACUUGCUUAAGAAAAGUUAAAUCAAUCAUCAAUGUUGAUUUUAUUGCUCGAAGAUGAAAUUACUUUGGCUUCAGGAGAACCAUUCUUUGUUGCUCAAAAGCUGCAUCUCCUUCUUUUGGUGCAAGAUAAGAACGUCUAGACAAGGCAUCGGACAAACCUUGUUGUUUUCUUGGCCGAUAAGUGAUGAUGAACUCGAAUCUUGAUAAAGACAUGCUCCAACGAGCUUGGCAAUGAUUUAAUACACGUGUUGACAUAAAAUAUUCGAGGUUCUUGUGAUCCGUAUACAUGGUGACUGGAUUGAAAGCGCCUUCUAGAUAAUAAUGCCAUUCUUGAAAAGAAUCCACAAUUACAAGAAGUUCUUUCUCGUGGAUCUCAUAAUUGAUUUCUGCUAUUGAGAAUUUUCUUGAAUGAAAGGCUACUGGAUGAAGUUUGUCAUCUGUUCCCAUUUCUGAUAAAACCGCACCCAGAGCAAAGUCUGAUGCAUCUGUUUCCAUAAAGAAUGCUUUGGAAAAAUCAACAGGAUACAAGAUUGGUGCAGAAACAAACGUUGUCUUCAAAGAUUCAAAAGUAACUUCUGCUUCUUGAUUCCAUUGGAGUUUGUCUUUACAAGCCAAACGUGUAAGUGGAGGUGCAACUCAAGAGAAGUCUUUGAUAAAGAUCGGAUAGUAGAUGACAAAUCCCAAAAAACAUUAGACAUCUCUUACCGUUUUUGGGAUCUUCCAGUCUAUAAUAGUUUGAACUUUCUUAGGAUCCAUCAUAAGUCCAUCAUUUGAAAUGAUGUAAUCUAAAAAAUUGACUUGAGUAGUAAAGAACACACACUUUUCUAUCUUAGCAUAGAGUCUUGCAUCUCUUAAUUUUUGUAACACAUGAUGAACAUGAAUUUCAUGUUCUUUUGGAUUCUUAGAAUAGAUCAAGAUGUCGUCUAGAUAACAGACCACAAAAUCGUCCAAAAACUUUCAAAAAACAUCAUUCAUUAGAUGUUGAAAAGCUGCUGGUGCAUUUGUAAGUCCAAAAGGUAUGACGUUGUAUUCAAAAUGUCCAUACCUAGUUUGAAAUGCAGUCUUCCAUUCAUCUCCUUCUUUGAUACGUACUAGAUUGUAUGCUCUUCGAAGAUCUAUUUUUGUAUAGAUCUUAGCUUAUUUCAACUGAUCAAGAAGUCUAGAUAUUAAAGGUAGUAGAUACUUAUUCUUGAUGGUAAUCUUGUUGAGUCCUUGAUAAUCAAUACACAUCCGCAAUGAUCCAUCUUUUUUCUUCACAAAUAGAAUUGGAGCUCCUACCGGAGAUUUAGAAUGGCGUAUGAAAUUCUUGGCUAGAUUUUCUUCAAUAUACUCCUUGAGUUCAGUCAACUCAUUUUGUGAUAAACUGUACAUUGGUCUAAAUGGGGGUUGUGCUCCUUCUUGAAGGUCAAUUGAGUAAUCAUAGGGAUGAUGUUCCGGGAGUGUAUCCACAUUCUUUUUUUCAAAUACAUCUUGAAAUUCUUGAUAUUGGCUAAGAAUGCGACUUGAAGUCUUUUCACCAGUAGGAAUAGGUGUGGUAUAAAUAAUAUAUAGUGAUUCUUUCAUAGCAGCAUGUAAGAAAGCUUUUGCACCUAUAAAUAAGAGUUUAAUUGAAUUACACUUAUGACUCUCUACUUGAUUAACUACACUGUUAGUUAUACUUUUAGAGAAAGUAAGAGUUCGGAAAAUCCAAUCUAUUUGAGGGUUGUAUUUUUCUAACCAUGAUAAACCUAAAAUGACUGGAUUAGAGGGAGAUCUAAUGAUAUUAAAUACUACAAAACUAUUAUAAUCAUUGAUUAUUACUUCUAUAGGAAAGGUUUCGUGAGUAAUAUCUCCAGAAGACAAUGGACAACCAUCUAUGACUUCUACAUGAAUAGGUUUAGUUUUCUUUACUAAAUUUAUGCUAUGUCUUUUAGUAAAUUCUUCAUCUAAAAAAUACACUCAAGCUCCCGAAUCUAACAAGACAGAGACUUUUUAAUGUUUAUGUCCUAAAAUAAUAUUUAAUUUAAAACAAGGAGAGGGCUCUAAAGAGAGAAUAGGACCUUUAUUAGAUGUUGUGCAAGGUUCCAGCCGCACGGUCCCUAUUGUAGCUGGACAAAUUUGUUUUCCGACAUAUUGUCUUCUUUUACAGCCAUACUCCUCAUUUUGUAAUUACGUCAUUUUUUUGGACAAUGUUGAGCAGUGUGCUUUGGUUCUCCACAAUAUAAACAUAAUCCUUCUUGACGACAAUGAGUCUUUUCUUACUCAGUAAGAGGUUUGAAAUGUACUACAUCAAUUUGCAUAUCCUCUACUUCCGAAUGUAUGUGUUGAAGAGGUGUUGGUGUUGCCAUUGAAUUAUAGUAACGUUGAAGUACACUUGUACGGUUCUUAGAUCGGAAUUCAAAAAGGCGAUUGUCGCACUUCACAACAAAGUCAGUUACUUGACUCAAUGUUUGAAGAUCAAGUAAGUUGAGCAUUAAUUUUUUUACCUCAUAUUGUAAUCCAUAGAGAAAUUGGCUAAUAAGUGCAGUAUCAUCUCAUUUGAUAUCAGUUGCAAGUUGUCAAAAUUGUGAAGCAUACAUUAUUACUAAUUAUUUGCCUUGUCGUAAAAUACGGAUCUUAUUGGUUGCAACACAAAUUGCAUCAUAUUCUCCAUACAUGAAUCAAAACUCUAUCAAAAAAGCCUCUAGAUUAUUCAAUAUUAGAUCUUGUCGUUCAAAAAAAGAUGAAAACCACAAUAGUACUAAAUCUAAAAGAAGCGUAUCAAUGAAUCUAACUUGCGAUCUUGGAGUUGGAUAGCUUUGGGAUUGAAAUUCAAUCAUAAGUUACACUGGAUUGAUAAAUCCUCGAAACUUGGAUUUGAUGCCAUCAAACUUCUCGGGUAGGGCAAUUCUUGGUUCUCUAACACUAGAAGGGCAUUCCACCAUAGAAAAAAGGACAUGGUUUGGUGGAGAUGUUGAAGCAGCUCCAACCAUUUCUAUAUCUUCACUUCCUACCAAUCUUGUUGCUCCUUGUGGUGGUAAUCUGAGUUGAUGCAUCGUAAGCAUUAACUCCCUCAAUCGCUCUUGCAUUUGUGCCAUUGCAUUCUUCAUUUCAACAAGUUCUGCCAUGAUAACACUUAGAAAAGAGAAGAUGUCUAAUAUCGCUCAAGACAAAUAGAAGAGAGGACUUGAGAACAAAGAAAAUACUAAGGACGAUAUCAGUUUAGAAGAGGGUAAUCCGUAACUUCUAAUAUGCUUAUAUCUUAUCAAGAAAAAGGGGUAAUCUACUCUUAAUCAAGAUUAGAUAAAGCUCUGAUAUUGUAGGUUUACUCUUGUCAAUCUGUCAAAGACAAGAACUCGAUGAAAAAAAAAUCCAGACAAGUGAGCCUUUACUCAAAAAAAGGUAACAAAAUAUAAAUAAAUAAGUAUGUAUAUUGUAAGAGAAACUAGAAUAGCUAUUGCUAAAAGACAAGAAAACUAGAGACCUUUGAAACUAGACUAGAAGCAAGAAAGGAAUUGACAAGAGUGAAGAAGGCUUCACUCUUCUCUUUAUAUAUACUAUCUAACUAGGAGCUACGUGGCAACGUUCUAUAGGACCUCCAAUAUGUGUUAACUUUGUAGGACACAUGCCUUGACUUACAAGGUAAGUUUUUCUACGUAUGGGCCACAUAGUUAGCUUAAUCUUCAAGCUAACAACAUGUGUGGCACAUGGCCAACUUAUUGACCACAUUUCUAAUCCAAAAAGUCAAUUAAAGAUACCUAUGAAGUCAAAGCAGCAUCUAUGAAGCUUCUAGAAAGCUUCCAUAUUAAAUACUAUAGAAUUAACUUACUUUUAUUUACUUUUAUUUACUUUUACUUACUUCUACCUAUUUGUAUAUGUAAUUACAAACUUACAUGAGUAUGUCCAUGAAUUUUUUUUAUUUGUUCUAUAGAAUCUUCUAAUAAAGAUUUAACAACAAAUUUAUAUUUUUGUAUAUUCUUUUAUAUUUUAUCCCUACAAUAACUUUUGAUAGGUAAAAAGAUUCAAGUAUAGAAUAAACUUCUUUUGAAUAAAUUUCCACAAUCUUAUCAUCAUAUCCUAAUUCAAUAGAUACAAUUAAUUCCAAAAAAAUUCAAUCCAAUUUUUUCAUAAACACCUAAAAUCUUCUCAUCAUCUUUUAAUAUUUCUAACCUAUAUAAUUCUUUAUCAAUAUCAUAUAUUAUUUCUCUUUCUUUUCUUUUUAAAUCCUUAAUUUUCUUAUGAAUAAUACUUUCAUUUUUAAAAAUGUCAAUAAAACUUGCACCGAAGGCACCUACAUCUUAUAAGAGUAUUGUUUUUUUUGUAUCUCUAUUAUUCCAUUUUACAAUGCUACUUCUUCAAAAUCCUUAAAUUCUUCAAUAAUUUUCUACAAUGGUUUUUCUCUCAAUCUAUCUUGAUUUUGUUUGUGAUUAAGAGGCAUAUUUAGAAAUUAUACCACUUUCCUUCCAUCUUUACUAUGCAUUCGUGCAUAGGCUAAAGUAUCAUUAAAUAUUUUUAUUUCCAUCAGUGUUGCUAAAAAAUAUGGUUAUUUUAAAAUCAUUAGAUAAAAUGUAUCUUGAACAAAAUAAUAAUGCUCUAUUAUAAAAUCUUUAAUCUGGAUUUUAAUAUCUAGACAAGCUCCAUAUAAUUCAUUUUAUAUUUUUUUAGCUACUUGUAUUAUCCAUCUAUAUUUUAUUUCAAUUGAUCACCUCCGUUUCUUAUAAAGAUCCUCAGAUAUAAGAUUUAUUUUAGAACCAUAGUCAACUAAAGCAACAACCAAUUCUUCUAUAUUUUCUACCUUCACUAAUAUUUUUAUAGUUGUCCUUGUCCAAUGCUUUUGAAUAUAAUGGCUUAAAGCUUUUAUUUACUUGUCACUAUAAUUUUCAAAACAUAUUUUUUGAUUAUAUUCUAUUUAUUUUACUUAUUGAUUGCUUGUAACUAUUAAUAAUCUUUUCUUUAUCUUUGUAUAUUCUUGUAUCAAUAACAUGACUCAUUGCAGCUUCAUCCAUUAAUUGUCUCUUUUUUUUAAUAUUGUCAAUAAUAAUAUCAUGAAACUCCUUCUUUAUAAUUCUUAAAAUCUCUUUAAAUAUAAACUCCACUUUAGAAUUUUAUACACGUUAUUCUAACACUACUUUGAAAUCUAUUGUUUUUUUAAUAUCAAAAAGUAAUUUAUAAGCUAUAUUGAUUUAUCUUUAUUAUUUUUUUUUUUCUAUUUCUUUCAAUAUUAUUGAUGUAUCUUUUUUAGACAAUUCUUAUGAAGCUGCCUCAUAAGCCUUAUCUCUUUAAAUUUGUGUCUUAGAAGAAUUUUUUUUUCUUGUAUCAUCAAAAUUUUCUUGUCUCUUUUCUCCUAUUAAGGCUUGAUGUUUGCUCUUAGUAAUAUAUGCAUGAACUAAAAUAGCUUCUAUAAGAUCUUUCCAACAUGUUGCACCACAUAUUAUAGCUACAAUUUUUAAUAAUACUUUUGGAGUUUUUAUUUUUUAUUUUUUUAUAUUAUGCAAAUAAAAAAAAGUCUAAAAUCCACUUCUCUCUAUACUUCCAUCAAAGUCAUUAUCUACUCUAAUACAAUAACUUGUAGCUUUUUAUAUUCUUAUUUUAUAUACAAUUAAAUAAUCUUGAAUCAAUGCUUUCAUACCUACCUUAGAAAAAUUGGUUUAAAAGAAUUUCCUUAUAUCUUUUAAUACCACCUUUUCAAUUUUUCAAAAAAUAACUUCUUGUUAAAUCAUAUCACUAAAUUCAUUGCAAUCCUUCUUAAUAUGAAAAGCAUCAUCAUACCAAAUAUAUCUUUGUAUAUAUCUUUUUUUAGAAGUAACUUUCAAAUUAUUUAUAGAGGUCUUUUCUUCAAGUCUUGUUAAUUUGAUUUCAAGAUUCUACAUGAAAUUUUCUUCAAACUUCACAAAUUAAAUAUUCAAAUAUCAUAAAAAUUUUAUAUACAAUUUUUUAACCUAAUAACUCAUAUUUUUAAAAAAUUUGAACCAAAAAUUUGUCUAAAAACUCAAGAUAUGUCUCCAAUCAUUAUUAUCAUCGAAACAACUUACUUAAUACUUUUGAAUUACAUAUACUAUCUUCAAUGUUCUAUAACUCCUUCAUAAAAACCUUGAAUAUAGCAAUUUUUUUCCAAAAGACAUAGGUCUUAAAAUCACUCUUACAACCACAUCUUUUGAUCUCCAAAAGUUGCCAUACAACUUCUUGUAUCUUCAAAAAAGAAACCAUAUGCCUUAAAAGACACCUUAACUUUAAACAGCUAUAACUUCUUCAUCUUAACUCUGAGCCCUUUAAAUUUUUCACACAAAUUGUAGUCCAAAUUCUAAAUCUUACAACCUUUGCUUUUGAUUCUCAAAAUGUUCUUUUUGAAGUUACCAAAACUCUCAUUAUGAUUGAAAACAACCUCUUGAGAGCCUAUUGGAUAUGGCAUUUAAUCAAAAGAGAUGAAGGUCCUCAUUCCUUAUCUUCAUCCAUCUAUAUAUUGCUUUUAUUUCUCCAAAUUAGAUUCUUAGAAGUUUGGAUGUUCAUCUUUGAACUCCAAUCUUUUCUUUAGAUUUUAUAUUAAAUAUCUAAAUUCUAUAUAAUUCAAAUAUUAUAAUCAAAAUAGAUAAAAUUCAAAAUAAAUUUUCUUACAUCAACUCUCUAUAAAUUAAUUUAAUAACCAUUCUAAUAUACAUUAAUUUUUAUAAAUAUAUUAUAUAUUUUAAUUAAUUUUUAUAUUAUAUAUAUAAUUAUAAUAUAACAUCCACCUUCUCUGAACCUACACAUCUUUUUGUAUAUGCUACAUGCUACUCCUCUUCAUCUUCUUGAGAUUUCUUUAAAUCAUUUCUAAAUUCUUCUACUUCAUAUUCUUGAUCCAAAUAUUGAGAUAAGAAUUCUUCAAGGUCUUAUAUUUUAAAUCCCCUAUUUCUUUUCUUAAAAGUAUUUAUCUUCUUUCUUGCUACUGGAAUUCUAAGAAUAAUUCCAUCUCAUUCAUAUAAGAUAUAUGUAGCAUUAUCAUGGAUUGUAACUACUACACAUGGUUUAAAUCAUUUUUUUAUAAAUUUCUUUAUGAUGCUAUGCUAAUAUUCAAAGCUGCUAUUAUUAACUAAAAUCCAAUUUCUAAUCUCUACACCCUUAAGCCUCAAUAUAUAACUUUUAUCAAUUUUUUUUAUUUUUUAAUCUUGCUUUUUUUAACCUCUCACCUAUAACUUGUAGAUCUCCAAUUAACUUUUUUAAUUUUUAGAUCCAAGGCUUCAAUAAUGUUUUUUUAUUACCAUUACUUUUUCAAGAUAGAAACAUUUAUGUAAGAUAAUAUUUUUUCAACUCGCAUCAUAAAUUUUUAUCUUAAUAUUAAUUUCAUAGGUAUAUAAUUAAUUAUAAUACCGUAAAUAGUCUUAUCAACCUAUAAAGUAAAUAGAAGCAAUUUAGGCUAUUAAAUUAGAUUAUCUUUACAUAUCUUAAUCAACACUAUCGUAAUACAUGAAGUCUUGCUUAAGAAUGCUCCAAGCACCUGACUGUGGAAGGAAGAAUAGAAAUUGCAAUAACAAAAUGCUAAUUCUAAUAGAAUACUAACAAUGCUCUAAUUAAACCAUAAUAAUGCUAAGCAAGCUUAAUCAAAUUCAAAAAAAACCUAAAAGAAAUUUCAAACAAACAAUAGGAAUUCUUAAAGAAAUAUUAGAAUGAUCACAAAUAUCACUCAAAUGCAUCUCAAUUCAAUCUUAAUUUAAUUCUAGUUAAAAUCUUAUUGAACUUCAUUCAAACUUUAAGCCAAAACUAAUUGAAUCUUAAAUCCUAAUAAAAUCCUAAAUCCUAAAUCAAACCCUAAACAAACCUUAAACCAAACCCCAACCAAAUCCUAAAUCCUAAAUCAAAUCCUAACCAAAUCCUAAUCCAAAUCCUAAAUCCUAAAUCCAACCCUAAUCAAAUCCUAAACCCUAAAUAAAAUCCUAACCAAAUCUUAAACUAAACCCUAAAUCCUAAAUCAAAUCCUAACCAAAUCCUAAACCCUAAAUAAAUCCUAAACCAAACCCUAAUCAAACUCUAAACCAAACCCUAGUAAUUCCUACAACAAAUUUAAACCUCAAUAACUAAUGAAUAAA
rnacentral:lncRNA from 1 species